rnacentral:lncRNA from 1 species
UAGACCCUUAGGAGCUUGUCAUGUGGUUAAAUCAAGAUUUCACUUGCACGUUCACUCAUAUAUGCUACUUCUACUCCGGAAGUACCAUCCACAUAUAUCUACCCAUUCCAUCUCCAGAACCACCUAAAAAUAUUCUACUCCUAAUCCGGGAGAGAAUAACCAAAAAUAUUUCUGUUUUCCCCUUGUAAAAUAAAUGCUCAAGAUAUCUUGUUACUACCACUUGCUAUAUUAUCUCAAGAGAUGAAUGCUCUAAAAAAAGGAAUAAUACGAGGAAAUAAAAAGGAGCAAGUGCUCGGAACCUCGAAAGAAAAGAAAAAGUGAGACGAGAGGUAAAAAUGGACAAGUGUCCGACAGUAGAAUUAGGGGUGCAAGAUACCCACCUGAGAGAAAAGAAAAAGAAGAGCAUCUCAUUCUCCUCAUAAAGUUUCAAAAGCAAGGAAGGUAUGUAUCCCAUCAAAGAGCAAAAGUAGAAUUAGACUUCCACCACCAUUGUUUUCAUCAUUGUUAUCACCAUCAUCACCAUACACCAUUCAUUCGCCACACAUGCACAUCUUGAUUAAACUUAUUGACUUGUUACUUUGGAUCCAUGGUUUGGCUAUGCAAUAAAUGUCUUGUAAGUAUGUAUACUUUAUCUCCCACCUAUGAGCUCCAGAUAUUAAAGCCUUAUUAGAGUAGGGUGAGAGAAAAGGCAACGUAACUAUGCCUCAUACCACAAAUACCACAUAUAUUGAGAGAAGGCAUAUACCAUCACUGCCUUGGUAAGGAUCCAAAAAUACCACAAAAGAGAGACCUGAGAGAAUCAUACAAGGAAUCUCUGAGUUUUAUUUGAAAAUCUGCAAGAAACCCCAGAGCUAUAGCUGAUCAAGAAUAAGAGACAUGGCACUUGGCUAGACUAUUCUAUCUUUUAACCACUCAAGACAGAAGUGACGGUUACAAGUCCCAUGGUGGAGGUAAAGUAAGUAAGUUUUAAGUCUUGACAGUUUACUCUAACUGAGAGAUGAGAUCUUAUUUAAAAGCAUGUGUACCGUCAAAUUUUUAAAAGAUAUUGCAACUACUUCUGGUCCAUAGCUGAGUCUAUCCUUGCUCAGGGACGAGCAAGAGGUAAGCUUGGGGGAGUUUGUUGACGGUCCUUAAGUAUCAAAUUUAAUUAUCAAAUAAAUAAAGAAAAGGAUCCAAAUGAAAUCAAGAUCUAGACUUAGGGUUUUAUCUGACAGAAUUCCAUGAGUUUUGGUGUUUGUCUAUUUCUGCGGGGGGUUAUCAGGAAAUAUGGAAGAAAGGCCCACAUGUCAGGAUUACGUAAAGAUAUUAACGUGCUGCGCAAUUAUCUUACAUCUAGAAGACUCCAGAAGCCACAAGACUGAAGCGGAGGCGAAACGGGGCCAGACCCUGGGCGGCCGCCCAGUUGGUCAGGGCGCCCGCCCACCCCCUGUGUCCAAUCAGGACUCUGCUUUGCGGGAGAUCUCCACCGACCUAAAGGAUGAAUCUAAACCAUACAAUCUAUGUCGGUUUGAUCCAAGGGCCCAUAUUCACUUGAAGGGACUAUAAAACCAGACCCCCUGGCCCCUGGAGGAGAGAGCCUCUCAACCCUAAUUCAUUGUUUCAUCAAGGGAGAAGAAGCCUCUGAUCAAGAUUAGAGCCACAACAUCAAUUAGACAUCUAGAUUAGCAUAGCUACAUAGGAUUAGAACUAGAAGGAGUCAAUCUUCGAUUGGUUUCCGGAUCUGUCAAGAGGAUUCUUGGUAAUGCUCUAAUUGUGCUUCUAAUUACUUUCUAAUUAUCUUUGUUCUUCAAUAUUAUGAAUAUGACUUUGUUCUACUUCAAUAUAUUGCUUAUGACUUUGCUCUACUUGCUUAUAUUCAAGAUUAUAUUGUUCUUAGUUUAUCAUAGUUAUGUACUUGGCUUAGUUAGAUACGAUCUAUAUACAUGCUUAGGAUCGUAUAGCGUUUGUCCAUCGGAUCCAUGGGUAAAUGAUAGAUAUUGUGUAGGCGUGGUGCUUAUACCGUAUUUAUCUGCGAUUGUACCCAAUAUGCCAGAUCGUGGGGUAGUUCGUGAUAGUGACAGCUUCAUUGAUUCUUAUAUAGUCCCCCUCUCGUGUAUUGGGCUGGCAGAGCAACAUUAUUACAGGGGUGUGAUUGCUAUGUUUCUCAUAUUCCUUGCUAAUAUCACUAUGCAUGGGCGUAGUCUUGUCUCGCAAUGAUUGCUAAGUAUGCUUGCACUAACUAUGAUAAUGCUAGACUAUAUAGUUAAGAAUAACUUAGGGAAUAUUCUUGUAGUUCGUUCUAAUACCAUGCUAAUGACUUUCUAGAGUAUCUAAUUGAGGUGCUUAUCAUAUUUAUUAUGUGGCUAGAUCAGAUUAGUUAUCCUUGUCACUGUUAUUAUUUCAUAUAUCUUUUAUGUGACACUUAUCCCUGUAUGAAGAGUUAGAUAUAAUGUUCUCAAUUAUACAUGCAAUGAUAGAUGCUCAAUCUCAUAUUCUAUUCUGUAAUCAUUAGUGAUGAUUUCUAAUCCCUUCUCAGUGGUAAAAAUAUAAAUAACGAUACCUGGAAUACUUCCCGGUUAAAAUGCUGCAUCGGUAUUAAUCUGUGCACUUGCAGAUCCCAUUCAUUAUUUAUUUAGAAGAGCAAUUGCAUAUUUCAAUACCGCGUCUCUCAUAUCAUGCUGGGGAUGACAACUUGGCUUAAGUGGUGUGAGGGAUAGGUUUGGCAUUUUUGGCACCGUUACUAGAUUUAGAGAACUUAGUCUACUUUUGGUAAUGAUGUUAAGAAUACCCAACAGUAGACAUGUUGUCUGCAAAGCUAGACCUGCUCAUGAAGAAGCUCGAUGAUAGAGCUGGAGACAAGAAAGAAGUUAUGCACAUCUACGACUCUCACAUGACUUGUGAGGAGUGUGGAGACACUGGACACUCAGGCAACCACUGCCCUGAGAUACUUGAGGAUGUGAACUACAUCAACAACAACAACAACAACUACUACAACCGUCCUCAACAAAAUCAAGGUUGGAAUCAACAGAGGCCUAACUACUUAGGUAAUUAUCAAGGUAACAAUUCUUAUAACAACAAUAGUAAUUUUCCACCUUUGAGAGAGUUAGUGUCUAAUCAAGGAAAGCUAAUGGAUAACCUAUCUAAGAAAUUGGCAUCUAAUGAUAAAAUGCUAGAAAAUAUAAAUAAUAGAAUGGAUAAUUUUUCUACUGCCAUCAAGAAUCAAAUUAGCUUUAAUAAAAUGAUUGAAUCUCAGUUAAAUCAAAUAGCUGCUGCUGUUCCUACUACUAACCCCGGUAUACCAUCACAACCGGAAGGAUUAGAAUCUGCAAAUCUUGUAGACGUGUUUGAUGCAGGUAAUUGGAGUAACCCCGUCACUGAAUUUUCUACUGACCGUCUGCCGGUCAAGAGAGGCGAUCCAGGACGCCCCGUCAUCCCGAUCUCCAUCGGCAUGGUGGACUUCCCAGAAGCACUCUGUGACUUUGGCUCUAGCGUCAACAUUAUACCCAGGGUACUCUAUGAAAAAUUCUUUACAUAUCCUUUAUUAGAGACAACCAUGUGUUUGCAGUUUGUAGAUCAGACGAUAACUUUUCCAAAAGGAAUAGUGAAGAACCUUUGUGUCCGAGUUGGUACCUUAUAUGCCCCAGCAGACUUCGUAGUGGUAGAGACCGGAAAUGAUGAGAGAGCACCUAUCAUCCUAGGGAGGCAAUUCUUGAACACCACAGGAGCUAUCAUCUACGCCAGUGCUGCCAAGAUCAGUUUCUACGUCAAAGGGAAGAAGGAGACAUUUUUCUUCAAGAACAAGACUACACAAAUUCCAAAUCAAUCCAGACGUGAAUCAAGAAAGAGGACCAACAGGAGGAACAGGGACAAGCAAGUGUGGACCGAGUCAGCUAAGAUGGUCACUGUAGUUCAUGGAGGUCAAGAUCACCAACUUAAGUCACCGUUUUUGACCAAGAAGGACGACCCAGGAAUGCCAAGCAUCUACUGCUCCAUAAAUGGAUACAACUUCUACAAGACGAUUUGCGACACCGGAUCGGGCGUCAACAUAAUGGCCGCAGUCACUUAUCGGCUCUUGUUCGGGACCAUGCCACUAAGACCAACAUACAUUCAACUCCAGAUGGCAGAUCAGACAUUUCGAGAAGUUCAAGGAAUAGUAUCUGAUGUCCCAGUCAAAAUAGACGAUCACUUUGUCUACACAGACUUUCAAGUUGUUGACAUGGGAGAAGACGAGUAUGAUCCACCCAUCAUCCUUGGAAGACCGUUCCUCAGCACCGUUAAAGCAAUUAUCUACAUUGGAACUGGAGAAGUCCAUAUGCACUUCCCCUCAGAGAAGGUACGCCGUUAUUUUACUGACCCUAACUAUAUCAUUGAAGAAUCUAAGCAGGUAAGAAAGCGACGCAACCGCAACCAGAGGAGGCAGAUCAUCAAGGACGGAUGGGCAGACUAUGAAGGAGAUGUUGUAAGGUCAGAAGACAUAGAGUUUAAACAGAAUUAUCCAGAGGAGAUUGAAGCACCGAGUCAGGUAUGGAAAAUGAAGAUAACUGUACAAGAAGAGGAGGCGCUGCCGGAAGUACCGACUACGCCACCCAACGAACCUCAGGACGAUUAAGAAAAUGGAGAGUCCCGUUCGGAGGACUUAAAAACACCAACGCCUUGCCAAGAGGUAAACUUGGUAGUUAUCAUUUCCCUUUCAAUUAUUUCAAAUAGUUUACUUAGUUAAUCAUAUUCACACUAUCUUAAAAAGAAAAUAAAAAUGUUAAAAACAGUAAGCCCCAUGUGAGUAGACGAGUGGCAUGAAACCCAUAGGUACAUUCACUGUGGUGGCAUAAAAAUAAAAUAAAUAUUUUUCUGCUUUAUAAAAACAAAAAUAUAAAAACAGGGAGUAAUAAUUAUUAGGAGUCUCAACAUGAUAAAGGCUAGAUAUUUAUGCUAACACUUAAUCAGUUCCACAAGCUUUGUUGUCUAUUUGAGCUCCACAGAAUUUAAGAAUCAAGAAGACUAGCAGACGGAGGACAUCCUAAUCGCUGUCAGAAUGCUGCUGACUUUCAAAUACACCUCUGCCACCUGCUAGCUACACCAAGAGAAAUUACGUCAAAAUUCAGCUUGGGGGAGAGCACCCCCAUUUAUCUAGAUAAGUAUUUCUAUCUAUCUUUAUACUUAUAUUAUUUUAGAAUAUAAAUAACUAUGAAAAAACCAAAUAAACAUUUUAUGCUUAUAUAUAUGCCUUUUGCUUAGUGUGUUUAAUAAAUAAAUAAAGUGGCUAUGCUAAUCUGUAUCUAAAUAAAACUUAAGCAUGGAUAUGAUAAAUAGUUGCUCUGCCUAAUUUGCAAAUUUUAAGUUCUCUCUCAAGUUUAGAUAUAACUGUUAUAAUUUAAAUAUUGCUCUAGACCUAAACUUGUGGGAUGAAAACUUGAUCUGAAGUCUAAGUUGUUAACGGAUAUGAUAUGGGAAGGUUGAGCUGCUGUUUAUCUGUUCCUAGAGAUGCUAGAAUUCUGGAGAAUUUUAUCUUUGAAAAUCUUUAAAAUCUUGCAUGAUGAGUUCCUGUAUGAUGAGAGCUUAAAUUCCUACCACAGCCAUAUAUGCAUGCUUGCUAGACUUUGAGCCACACAUUUAUUAUUUACUGCUUAUGAGCAUUAAGUGUGGUCAAGCUGUGUAGACCCUUAGGAGCUUGUCUUGUGGUUAAAUCAAGAUUUCACUUGCACGUCCACUCAUAUAUGCUACUUCUACUCCGGAAGUACCAUCCACAUAUAUCCAUCCAUUUCCAUCUCCAGAAUCACCCAAAAAUAUUCUACUCCUAAUCCGGGAGAGAAUAACCAAAAAUAUUUCUGUUUUUCCCUUGUGAAAUAAAUGCUCAAGUUAUCUUGUUACUACCACUUGCUAUAUUAUCUCAUGAGAUGAGUGCUCUAAAAAAAAGAGAUACGAGGAAAUAAAAAGGAGCAAGUGCUCGGAACCUCGAAAGAAAAAAAAAGAAAAGAAAAAGUGAGACGAGAGGUAAAAAUGGACAAGUGUCCGACAGUAGAAUUAGGGGUACAAGAUACCCACCUGAGAGACAAGAAAAAGAUAGAGCAUCUCAUUCUCAUCAUAAAGUUUCAAAAGCAAGGAAGGUAUGUAUCCCCUCAAAAGAGCAAAGUAGAAUUAGACUUCCACCCCCAUUGUUUCCACCAUUGUUAUCACCAUACACCAUUCAUUCGCCACACAUGCACAUUUUGAUUUGGCUUAUUGAUUUGUUUCUUUGGAUCCAUGGUUUGACUAUGCAAUAAAUGUCUUGUAAGUAUGUAUACUUUAUCUCCCACCUAUGAACUCCAGAUAUUAAAGCCUUAUUAGAGUAGGGUGAGAGAAAAGGCAAUGUCACUAUGCCUCAUACCACAAAUACUACAUAUCUUGAGAGAAGGCAUAUACCAUCAAUGCCUUGGUAAGGAUCCAAAAAUACCACAAAAGAGAGACCUGAGAGAAUCAUACAAGGAAUUUCUGAGUUUUAUUUGAAAAUCUGCAAAAACUCUAGAGCUAUAGCUGAUCAAGAAUAAGAGACAUAGCACUUGGCUAGACUAUUCUAUCUUUUAACUACUCAAGACAGAAGUGACAGUUACAAGUCCCAUGGUGAAGGUAAAGUAAGUAAGUUUUAAGUCUCGACAGUUUACUCUCACUCAGAGAUGAGAUCUUAUUUAAAAAGCAUGUGUACCGUCAAAUUUUAAAGAUAUUGCAACUACUUCUGGUCCAUAGCUGAGUCUAUCCUUGCUCAGGGACGAGCAAGAGGUAAGCUUGGGGGAGUUUGUUGACGGUCCUUAAGUAUCAAAUUUAAUUAUCAAAUAAAUAAAGAAAAGGAUCCAAAUGAAAUCAAGAUCUAGACUUAGGGUUUUAUCUGACAGAAUUCCACGAGUUUUGGUGUUUGUCUAUUUCUGCAGGGGGUUAUCAGGAAAUACGGAAGAAAGGCCCACAUGUCAGGAUUACGUAAAGAUAUUAACGUGCUGCGCAAUUAUCUUACAUCUAGAAGACUCCAGAAGCCACGAGACCGAAGCGGAGGCGAAACAGGGCCAGAGGCAGGGCGCCCGCCCUGUCCUACUGGGCGCCCGCCCCCUGUUGGAGUCCAAACAGGACUCUGCUUUGCGGCAAGUCUCCACCGACCUAAAGGAUGAAUCUAAACCAUACAAUCUAUGUCGGUUUGAUCCAAGGGCCCAUAUUCACUUGAAGGGACUAUAAAACCAGACCCCCUGGCCCCUGGAGGAGAGAGCCUCUCGACCCUAAUUUAUUGUUCCAUCAAGGGAGAAGAAGCCUCUGAUCAAGAUUAGAGCCACCACAUCAAUUAGACAUCUAGAUUAGCAUAGCUACAUAGGAUUAGAACUAGAAGGAGUCAAUCUUCGAUUGGUUUCCGGAUCUGUCAGGAGGAUUCUUGGUAAUUCUCUAAUUGUGCUUCUAAUUGCUUUCUAAUUAUCUUUGUUCUUCAAUAUUAUGAAUAUGACUUUGUUCUACUUCAGAAUAUUGCUCAUGACUUUGCUCUACUUGCUUAUAUUCAAGAUUAUAUUGUUCUUAGUUUAUCAUAGUUAUGUACUUAGCUUAGUUAGAUACGAUCUAUAUACAUGCUUAGGAUCGUAUAGCGUUUAUCCAUUGGAUCCAUGGGUAAAUAAUAGAUAUUGUGUAGGGGUGGUGCUUAUACCGUAUUUAUCUGCGAUUGUACCCAAUAUGCCAGAUCGUGGGGUGGUUCGUGAUAGUGACAGCUUCAUUGAUUCUUAUAUAGUCCCCCUCUCGUGUAUUGGGCUGGCAGAGCAACAUUAUUACAGGGGAGUGAUUGCUAUGUUUCUCAUAUUCCUUGCUAAUAUCACUAUGCAUGGGCGUAGUCUUGUCUCGCAAUGAUUGCUAAGUAUGCUUGCACUAACUAUGAUAAUGCUAGACUAUAUAGUUGAGAAUAACUUAGGGAAUAUUCUUGUAGUUCGUUCUAAUACCAUGCUAAUGACUUUCUAGAGUAUCUAAUUGAGGUGCUUAUCAUAUUUAUUAUGUGGCUAGAUCAGAUUAGUUAUCCUUGUCACUAUUAUUAUUUCAUAUAUCUUUUAUGUGACACUUAUCCCUGUAUGAAGAGUUAGAUAUAAUGUUCUCAAUUAUACAUGCAAUGAUAGAUGCUCAAUCUCAUAUUCUAUUCUGUAAUCAAUAGUGAUGAUUGCUAAUCCCUUCCCAGUGGUAAAAAUAUAAAUAACGAUACCUGGAAUACUUCCCGGUUAAAAUGCUGCAUCGGUAUUAAUCUGUGCGCUUGCAGAUCCCAUUCAUUAUUUAUUUAGAAGAGCAAUUGCAUAUUUCAAUACCGCGUCUCUCAUGUCAUGCUGGGGAUGACAACUUGGCUUAAGUGGUGUGAGGUAUAGGUUUGGCAUUUUUGGCACCGUUGCUAGAUUUAGAACUUAGUCUACUUUUAGUAAUGAUGUUAAGAAUACCCAACACUCCAUCGGCAACAUAAAUACCAUGUUAACAUCUGCCGAUGGUCCUUUCCCUUUAGGAUCCAGUUGCUGCUGAUCUCCAGACUUGCCAGAGUUCUCUCCCUUGCUCAAAUCUUCUCGCCUUUCGCGCUGCAACAUUCUUUUCUGUGUUGUAGUCAAUCCCUCUGGACACCACGGAGGAAGUUGUGGCUGCCUUGCCGAUGGGCGACGAUUUUCCCUUGACUCCACUCGAUAGGUAUUAGCAUCUCUGCAAAAUAUGAACUCAUCGGGAACUCGAGCAUUUGCCAUCUCUUCAAGCUCCUCUUGGUUCCUGGGAAAAUACCAAACGCGGUCACCAAGUCUAUCAUGCACACGGAGCCUGCCCCCAGCCGAUCAUGAACUGACGCUCUCCCCCUAAUCAGCUCAUUAAAUCGCCGACCAUAAUUCUGAUACUGCUGAUUAGGUCUAUCAUACCGGUCAUAACCAUUACACUCAGGGCAAUCUCUAAUAGUAGGCAACUUGAUAUUUUGUUCCUAGCAAUGGAUAAAGAACAGGCAGUUCCAAUGAUCCUUAUGCCGAUUCCUCUCCUGUCGGCGUUGGUCCUCUUCUCGGCGACGAUCUUCUUGUUGACGCCGAUAACGAUCUUGUGUUGCUGCCAAAUUUCUCGAUGCCUUCUAUGAGUUAUCACGAUGCCAGAUCGGGGAGGCCUUCCUGAGCUAGUUCCUUCCUGGAUCAAACCCUUUCCUUUGGCAUCGGCAGCAGUAAUCUGAUUCUGAGGAUCCACCGAUGCACUCCUUUUAGCUGCCUCCGAUGUCAAAACCUUGGUUUUUCCCUUAGCAUCCAACAUAUUUGUUGGGAGGGGAUUACCAAUAAUCAAUGUUGAUUAUAGAAUGGAAUAUAAGAUUGAGUAUCUAUCAUUGCAUGUAUAAUUGAGAACAUUUAUCUAACUCUUUCAUAUAGGGAUAAGUGUCACAUAAAAGAUAUAUAAAGUAAUGAAUAGUGACAAAGAUAAUUAAUCUGAUCAGCAUAACUUAGCGACAUGAUAAAUAUGAUAAGCAUCUCAAUUAGAUAUUCUAGCAAGUCAUUAGCAUGGAAUUAGAACGAACUACAAGAAUAUUUCCUAAGUUAUUCUCAACUAUAUAGUCUAGCAUUAUCAUAGUUAGUGCAUGUAUAGUUAGCAAUCAUUGUGAGACAAGACUACGCCCAUGCAUAGUGAUAUUUGCAAGGAAUAUGAGAAACAUCGUAAUCACUCCACUGUAAUAAUGUUGCUCUGCCAGCCCAAUACACGAGAGGGGGACUAUAUAAGAAUCAAUGAAGCUGUCACUAUCACGAACUACCCCACGAUCUGGCAUAUUAGGUACAAUCGGAGAUAAAUACGGUAUAAGCACCACGCCUACACAAUACCUAUCAUUUACCCAUGGAUCCGAAAGAGAAAGAACCAGUUCCUAGACAAGAAGAAGAAGUUUCGACAGCCAGAUCACAACCACUUCAAUCCCAAACUUUAGCUAUCGAUCCUAAACCAUCAAUAUCCCAAAAUUCUCCAAGGGAGGAAGGAAUUCCGACCUUAAAUCUUUCAGAUGCUGAUGGUUUAGACUUCUGGUUCCAUAAGAGACCUUCAAGUAGGGAUAAUUCAAAUCCUUGCAAUAAUGGUUCUCUCAGAAAAUGUCCUAGUUCCUAUUAUGAAGAAGUUGAGGAUGACAUAUCAAGUGAAUGAGAGCUAAACCAUAUGGAAAAUUCUAUCUGCUCCCCUUCCAUGUUCACAAAUUCUAAAUCCAUCCUUGACCUUAGAGACCCCUCUUAUCCCUCUCCUUUUAAGUCUCAUGAUGAUCUUAGCAAUCCAUCAAAACGAUCAAACCACAGGAGUCAUGAAGACCAUAAGGAUGGCAUAGAAGGAGAGCUAAGCCAUAGAGAAGAUUCUAUCAGCUCCCCUGUCUUGUUCACAAGUUCUAAAUGGCUGGAAUGUGUAGAAUGGAUGGAUAAGGAAGAAGCCUUAAUGGAUUCUGACUUUGGCUCAAUUUCAAAUGGUGAGUUAUUGACUCCCUUUAAAGAUGAGAUUCAUCCAACUACAGAAGAGGACAUAGGUGAGACCAAUCCAGGAGAAACUCUGAACAUUCAGAUUGGAGACGAAGAUAACAUUAAUAAGCAUGGAAUUUAUUUCAUAGCCACUUCGUUCACUCCAUGCUCAUAUGCAACAUCUUCCCAAUCUAUUGGUCUCUCCAACAUCACCACAUUUGAGAUCUCCAACCCCCUCUUCCUUUCUAUUUAUAAAAACUUUAAAAGGGCGGUUGUCGAUGCAUAUGUCUAUAAUAAAUAUUGCAGAUCUCGUUGAGUUGAUCUUUAUAUAGGUCAGCGUUGGAAGGGAAACCACUCCGCCGACAUCAAUUGAUGGUUUUCCAAGGACAAGCUUAGUGUCCUAAAAUAAGCACUGAUCAGAUCGUAACUAGAGCUUUUAAUUAUUUGCAACAUUACCUUGUGUAUUGAGCAUAUAGGGAUAAUUGUAAAAAUAUUCCUUCGGGCAUUCCUAUCACUAACCUUUCCAGGAUUGGAGCAAGAAGAUUGGAUGAAUGACAAGCACAAGGUAUGUCCAACCAAUCAUCAUACAACAUUGAAUUAAAUCCAAACUUGAAUUUUGCAAAAUUCAAGCUUGGGGGAGUACUUUACAUAAAAACAUCCUUUGCCAUGUUGCUAUGUUGGUUGUCCCUACCUUUGAGACAUGCUCAGUUUGUUAAAUACUAAUCAGACUACUUCAACUCCACUUGAGUAGAUCUCUAUAAAUGCUCUCAUGCUACCUUUAUUUGCUUUAGUAUAUAUCUAGGUUUGGAGUAGUUUCAUUUAUCUUUUAAAUUAAGCAUGGUGCAUAGGUUAAAAUGCCCUCCUGAAUCAAAUUAGAUAUGGUGUCUAGGUUGAUUUUUGAGCCAAUAGUAUGCUAUAGUAGAUAUUGGAUAUUUUGUUGGACUAACCCCUGCAGGAAACUUUCAAUAUCGACCUGGGAAGUCCUGAGAUAAACUCACAUUGGAGACAAAGAGAGAGGCACAUGAAGUUUAACAAUUUACACAAGGAAGUCAUAGCUCACAAGAGAUGAUCCAUGGAGGGUGCCAGAAACACGAUGCAUAACCGCUAAGAAAGGAAAGCUUCCACAAGGUGAUACUGUACCAUCACUCUUCAAGGUAACAUCUUAAGGUACUUGACUAUCACUUUUUAUAAGUUUCUCCUUGGUUCUAGUGUUCACAAGAAUAAAAGAGACAAACAUGUAUGAUUUACAACUCUAGGUUAACCAACCCAAUCGAUUCAACAUGUUUAGUCCUUCCACAUUUGUGAUCCCACACUCCUAAUCAUAUGAGCUAAAAUGUUGCACACUCAAUCUUUGGAAGAUAUAUAUUAAAAAUAUAUAUAGAUUAUCUUUCCAUAAGGUUGAGCGAUCUGAUCUGACAAAUGUUUUAAAUGCUACACUCAUGAUCUUAUUAUCCAUCAAGUUUGUCUUGCUCACUAUGCUUAGGGUUAGAGAAGAACAAAUAUACUUUUUGUUCUGUUGGUGUUUUCCACCAACUGGGCCCAUGCACUUGAUCUCUGCCUUGUCUCUAUGAGCAGGUACACUUCGAGCAAAAUAUGGAGGAGUUUUACAACUCCCAGACUCCACCAAGUGAAGAACCUGGAUCUACGAGCACAAAACACACUGAGCAAGAUACUGCCAACGCCGCACUUUGAACUGCUAGAGAAAUGAAGAAUAUGGGUGACAUUGUAUCAAGAGGUGCAGACAUCAAGGUCCACACCUGAAUCAAAUGACGCACCUGAAGAAUGAACACGGUGAGAAGUCUUGUUCAGACGACUUAAAACAUUGAACCCUCGCCGAAAGGUAAAAUCGGUAGUUACCCAUAUUUAUCCUUUCUGCAUUUCCUUUUCCUUUAAAUUAUUUACUUUCCUUAAAUAGCUUGUUAGUUAAUCAUGCUAUCUUGAAAAGAAAAUAAAAAUGUUAAAAGCAGUAAGCCCCAUGUGAGUAUGCUCGUGGCAUAAAACCCAUAAGUACAUUCACUGUGGCGGCGUAAAAAUAAAAUAAAUAUAUUCCUGUCCUAUAAAAAUGAAAAUAUAAAAAUAAAUUUAUGAUCCUACCAAAGAGAGUAAUAUUUAUUAGAGGAAGCUCAACAUGAUAAAGGCAAAGAGACUUUAUGCUAACACUUAACCAGUUCCACAAAGCUUUGUUGUCUAUUUUAGCUCCACAGAAUUCAAGGAUCAAAGAAGACUAGAAGACGGAGGACAUCCUAAUUGCUGUCUGGGUGCUGUCGACAUUCAAAUACACCUGUACCACCUGCUAGCUACAUCAGAAGUAAUUACAUCAAAAUCCAGCUUGGGGGAGAGCACCCCCAUUUAUCUAGCUAAGUGUUUCUACUCGCGUUUAUACUUUACUCAAAUAAUAAAAAGAUGCAUAAUCAUAAAAACCCAAAUAAAUCUUCCAGCUUUCUAAAUGAAGUAAUCUCACGCCGAAGUUCCGCCACUUUGGAGAUUGGAAAAUAUUUAAAAAGAAAACUAUUAUAUAACUCCUUCCAAUCUCCAUGAACACUCCCUACUUUGAGUUUGUACCAAAGUUUAGCUUUUCCCAUUAAAGAGAACGGAAAGAGCUUCCAUUUAAGGGUCUCAUCGGACAUGCCUUCAAUGCGAAGGAGGUCACAGACUCGAUAAAACUCUCUUAGUUGUGUGUAUGGGUUUUCCUCACCUUCUCCUGAGAAAGGUUGUUUUUGAACAAAUUCUAUGUAUUCGGGGUCUAUCUCAAAACUAGAUGCUAUGAUAGGCUUUGAAGAUUUUGGUGGUUCGAGAUGUGUGCUCGUAGGUCUAUGAAACUGAUAGAUAGACAUGUUUGCAUUCAUGAUAGACCAGAAAUCAAGGAUUAGAUAAGAGGAAAGGAUAGCAGAGAUGAGGCAAAGGAUAAAAGGAAAAAAGUAUAUAUUUAUUUUUAUUAUAUUGUUUUUUAGAAAAUGAUUAAGCUAGUUCGUAGUCAACUCAGCAACCGUCUCCCCGGCAACGGUGCCAAAAAUGCUUGUUGACACUUGCUAACACCAGUUGAAUACUAGGUUGUCAUCCCCAACAUGGCACUAGAGUGUACUAUGGUAUUUAUACACACACAGAUAAAUCCGCAAGUGCACGGAUACCAUUGUAGCUUUUACCCGGUUAAAGGUUUUAUCGUAUCCACAGAGAAACGGGAGAACUGAUCUACGCUCUAACUUAACCUAGAUAGAUAGGUAAGUGUAAAUAGGAAAGAUGGUAGAAUUGAAUAAGAACAAUAUUAAAAGUAAGAUAACAAUGAGUGAUAAUAUGGGAAUGUAGAGUAGAGCAAUCUAGUAUAUGGGCGAUGGUACGAGAAUAGAGAGGAUAACUAUGGUUUCUCUACUUUAAAGGGGUUUGUCUAUGUCUGGAACGAACCACGUGAUAAGAAUACACCACAAAGGAUGCUUAUCCAUAGGCCGAUAAACCCUACCCGUCCUGCUAACAGGAGGUGGACUACAGGGGACCAACGUAACUGUCACCUAUGCGGCCUACCGCACGAUCCAGUUAGACAGGGGAUAUCCACAAGUUAUCUAGGUCUCAGCACCACGCUUACACCUAUACUACAACUCUAACCUAUAGGGUCCUAUAGAUUAAAAGUACUCAAAAGAGUUGUGAACCAGAACAUACAUGAAUAGUAAUUGCAUAAUGAAAUAGAAGUAGAUUACCAGAGUCAUCCCAUGAGCAAGCUUGAUUAGAACUUGAUCAUGGCGAAGUACAACCGGAGGAAGAACCGACAGGCCGGCCUCUCCUCCAAUCCUCCCUCGCUCUCCAUCUCGCUACUAUCUAGAUCUACUCUAGUUUAGAGAUGAGAGGAGAGCUCUCAUCUCCAAACCCUAGCUUUUGCUCUAUCUAUGUAGAGGAAAGGUUAUCCUUCGAGGGCACCUCUCAACUCUACAAUGAACUUGUCCUCCUCCAGGGGCCAGGGGGUUUGCUUAUAUAGUGCCCUUAAGUGAAUCUGGGCCGUCGGAUCGAACCGACAUUGAUUGAACGGUUAUCCUUGAUCCUUUAGGUCGGUGGAGCGUAAUCCGCAAGACGGGUCCUGAUUGGACUCUAACUCAGGGCGGGCGCCCUAGGGGGGAGGGCGGGCGCCCUGCCCCCGGGCCCGAUCGCCUUUCCGUUCGUUCCCGUGGCUUCUGGAGUCUUCUAGAUGAUAGAAAAUUGUGCGACACGUUAAUAUCUCUAUGUAAACCCGACAUGUGGGCCUCUCCUCCAUAUAUCCUGAUAACCCCCUGCAGAAAUAGACAAACACCGAAACUCGUGGAAUUCUGUCAGGUAAAACCCUAAGUUUGGGUGUUGGUUGUAUUUGGAUCCUUUUCUUUAUUUAUUUGAUGAUUAUAUUUGGUACUUAAGGACCGUCAACAGUGUGGAGCACACUAGUCGGCUUUCAAGAUGAAAUGGAUGAUUAGGAGAAACGGAUAUUAUUGGCCAACUAUACUUGAAGAUUGCUUUAAAUGCUUUAAAAGGUGUCAAGGAUGUCAGAAGUUUGGGAAUAUUCAAAGGGCGUCCGCAUCAGCCAUGAAUCCUAUUAUUAAACCUUGGCCGUUUCGAGGAUGGGAUAUUGAUCUCAUCGGCCAGAUUUAUCUGCCAUCAAGCAAGGGGCAUAAAUUUAUCUUAGUUGCCACUGAUUAUUUCACCAAAUGGGUUGAGGCUAUUCCCUUAAAGAAAGUGACAUUGGCUAAUAUGAUCGAUUUUGUAAAGGAGCAUAUUGUCUACCGAUUUGGUAUUCCCCAGACAAUUACUACCGAUCAGGGUACUAUGUUUACAUCGGGAGAGUUUGAUGAAUUUGCAAUCGCUAUGGGGAUCAAGGUGUUGAAUUCUUCUCCUUACUAUGCUUAAGCUAAUGGACAAGCCGAAGCUUCUCACAAAGGGAUUACUAAGCUUAUUAAGCGGGAAAGUUGAAGAAAAUCCUAGGAGGUGGUACACAUUGUUGAAUGAAGCUUUAUGGUUAUAUCGGAUGGCGUGUCAUGGUUCAACCAAAGUAUCACCUUAUCAGUUGGUGUAUGGGCACGAUGAGGUAUUACAAUGGGAAAUUAAGACUGGAUCUAGGCGGAUGUCUUUUCAGGAUCAAUUGGGUGCCGAUGACUAUGCUACUUUGAUGAAAGAUGAGUUAGACGAUUUAGCAGAGCAUCGGUUGAGGGCUUUAAUAAGCAUAGAAGAAAAUAAAAAUAGAGUUGCUAAAUGGUAUGAUAAAAAGGUAAAAGCCAAGGAAUUUGCUGAUGGGGAUUUGGUAUGGAAACUAAUUCUACCAAUUGGGACUAAAAGUUCAAAAUUUGGAAAAUGGUAUCCUAAUUGGGAGGGUCCUUAUCGGAUAAAUCGAUCUACUCUUGGCAAUGAUUAUAUUUUAGAGACUUUCGAAGGAGUUCAAUUUCCCAGAGCAUUAAACAGAAAAUAUUUAAAAAGAUAUUAUCCUAGUAUCUGGUUUGACGCAUAGAAGUUCAAAUGUCGAUAACACUCCUAUCUGCUGGAUGAAGUGUGUCUGGGAUCAUGCAUAGUGUUUUAAAGUGCCGAUAACAGUCCUAUCGGCUAGACCAAAAUAAUUGGAAGGUUUCUAAGGGCAGAAUUGAAUGAGUUGCCGAUGAAGAGCUCACAGAUUCAGCAGAGCUUAUAUAGUAGAUAUGGCACGUAGACGGAUCUGGUUGGCCUAUUCUAUCUCUCGAAUAUAUUCACCGGCAGAACCCUCUAUCGGCUUCAGCUUCUUCUUCAUCUGCAGUGCUUUGCGAGCUUGGAUAUUUCUUUCUUGCUGAAGAGUUUGGAGCAUUUCAUGCAGCUGGCUUUCUUCUUGCUGAGCUUGGGUCAGGGCUUCUUCUACUUGUUUGAGUUCAGCUAGCAGGGCUUCUCUUCUUGUCGAUAGAUCAGAAAUCUUCAGCUUUAGCUCAUCUCCUGAGGACUACAGAAUGCUGAUGCUCUUGUGUUUUUCAUCGGCAGCACGCUUUACUUGCAUCACUUCCUUUGUGAGCCGGGUGUGAGCAGCUCUAUCGGCAAGACGCUAAGUAGCUUUCUGAUAUUGGAGCCGGCGGCUUUCUAAAUUUGCAGCUUGGAAAAGGAUUUCUUCCGCAUCGGCUGGGAUCUGACCACGAAGAGUCUUGAAUAAAGCUUUGGCUGGAUCGGAAUCAUCUACUAGCUGGGCUGUAUCUUGAUGCAGCAGAGCCAACAAGUCUUCCAGCUUAGCUUUAAUAUCUGCCGAUGAGAUUCCCACCGCCUGAGAAGAGCUUGCUUCUUCCUCUUCGUCAUCGGAGAUGUCGAUGGCAAAGGAGAACAGACUGUCUGGGGAGUCUUGUUCCUAGAAAAGGAAGAAGAUAAGUUACUCAGAACUAGGUAUUAAUGAUGAAAAGUUUGAAAGAGUCGAGUGACUUACUUGCUUCAAAAGAAUUUCCUGCCUCUGGCGUGGGGAUGCAGCCGGUACUAUGGGUUGAUCGGCUAGAGUUGCAGAUGGAAUGACGUCAACUGAGAAAUUAGAAGGAUAAUUAUAAUUUACAAAAUAAAAUUCAUCGUGAUAAUUCUAUGAUCAAUACUUUACCUUGAGGAGGUAUGGUGAUUGAUUGUUCCGGAGAGAUGGCCGAUGAUGUGCCCAGAUCAGUCGGAUCGGCAACCUGUUCAGAGACAUCGGCUGGUGCUUCUUGCUGCUGGGGUACUUGUCGGGGAGGAGAAGGUACUUCUUGUGUCUAGACUUCCGGUGAAGAAGGGGAUGAUGCUACAUGGAUUGGUGAUGCUGGAUGAGGAGGAGAAGAUGGUGCUGUCUUCUGGCGAUUCGGUUGCGACUUGGUGCUUUUGGGGCCUUUUCUCUUAGCUUGGCUAGGCUGGGGGGCAUCGGCACUUGAUGUUUGAGCACCUCUAGUCUUAGCCGAUUUGCCAGUUUGCUGUUACAACAACCAAAAUUUCAUGAGUAAAAGCAUAAAAGAAUACUGAUGAAAUUUUGCUGAAAGAUGAAAUUACCGAUGAAGUUCCUGUUGCAGCCGAUGUGCCCUGAAAGGAUGAUAUGAGUGUGGGAUGAAAUCGGUGCAAGCAAAGGAAAUUAAGGGGUUUUACCUUGAAAGCUUGUGCUAGGGUGGCAGCGGCUACCGAUGGGGAUGCUUUUGUCCUGUUGGUGGUCGUCUUCUUGAAGCGCACGUUGCGGUGCGCCAGAGCCGCUAGACUCGGUGCGUGUGGCCGAUCAAAGAAAUCGGACCUGAUUGGAGAAGAUCGAUCGGCUUCCCACUCCUGCUGAUUGUUGGCGCUGGAUUAUCAACCUAUUGAAAUAAACAGAAAACAAAUAAGUUGCCGAUAGGAUCAGAAAUAAUAGACGGAUCGAGGUAUUGGUAAAAGACUUACAAUGUUGUCGGUGACUUUGUAGUCGGGGUCGAUCAUGCCGCGGUUGUCUAGGCCGAUGCGCUAAAUAGGUGCUCCUUCCAUUCCUCCCACCAUUGUUUGUACAGCAGAGUAAUGAAAAGAGCUGGCACCCAGGCCGAUAGAUCGAUGUCCGUCGUAUCGGCAUUUGGCUGAAGCUGAGCUAUCCUUAUCCACUCAAGCCACUCGUUAUGAUCUCCCUUAGCUUCACCACAUCGGCAUAACAGAGUCUGAUCGGCAGUUGGCCAAAAGCUAGUUGGCAAGCUAGUGCCGAUGGGUUGUAAAACUCAUAAGUGGGGCUAGUGUUUUUGCCACUGCCAAAGGUGUUCACUAGAAUUGCCCUCAGAGUAAUGAUUGCCAUCAUCAUAUCAUUAUCCUUGUUGAGAGCAUUGUCAAAAGGAUGAAAGGUGAGCGGGAAUCUGGUUUCUGGAUCCUCAUAAGGCAUCCAUGCCCACUGAUCUUUGGAGAGGUCGUCAUACAGAGUUUGGAAGAAUCGGCUGAUCUGGUUCUCAUUGCUGCCAGUACUAGGUAAAACUAUAGCAGCCUCACCAUCAUCUAUAGCUAGGGAUAAAAUUCCUACCGUGGUAACGAAAGCUUUGAUACCAGAUGAUGCGACACGUUAUCUCGAUCUUCACGACGUAGGAUGAACACCGAUAACUAGCUAAAGAACAGCCGGAUAACUUGCUGCAAGCAGCGAUAACUAGUGCAACCUGGCAAAUAAACUCGAAGCCAACCACCGUCUUUAACCGGCAACCUGAAUCGACGAUUCGCCCAACCACACUCUCAAGAAACCAACCAACACAGCCUACAAUCCAUCAAGGAAUACCUUGAAGGGAGUAGGAGCACCAAUUGGAAGCGGAUGAAGCCGCCGCCUAUGUAAUCCCACGAGGAAAUCACAAGAGCAAAGGGGUAGAGAUCACUCUCUGGAUUUAUUAGCACGCAGCUGAACAGAGGAGUUCUAUAUUUCAAUUAUCAAAGUCUUAGAUUACAAUGAGUCUUAAGGGUAUUUGUACUAGCAACAGCCCUGCUAGAUAGGUAUGAAAACGAAAUAGAGUUUCUGAGGGAAGGCAAUGUGAAAGGUCCCCUCGAAAUGGAUUCCCGAAGUGGCUUCGCGUGACUGUUGGCCUCCAGAGCAGUUUCCAGUAAACUGACCAUAACUUUUUAUUGGGAAGUCCAAAUGAUGAACCAUUUCCAACCAGCACGAAACAUAGUAGAUUGGUACAGUUUUACUUGGCAAGUUGUAACAACAUUCUGUCACGAUAGACUGUUGACCUUCUGAGCAGUCUGUUCUAAUUCUGGUCUGCAGGCCAUAUGGUGUAUCCAAACUGGUCUCCACUAGAUUCAUUGGAAUGUAGACUCGUCAAGCUUUCCAACAAGUGCUCAUGGACCAUAAUAGCUUUUGUGAGUAAAAAGUUAUGAAGAUUCUUUGCACUGGUCCGUUUUUGACUUCCACUGGUCCGUUUUUGACUUCUUCUGGAACUUGCACUGGUCCGUUCUUCAUGGUCCGAUUCUUCCUUCUCUUCUUCUAUAUACCUGAGUACAAUCAAGGUACAACACUUAGGUAGUAUAUAAUUCUCAUUAAUGUUAAAACGAAUCUCACAAAGUAGCGCGUGGACCUCUUGUUUUAGCUUCUUUGCACGACUACGUGUAAUCGCUCCAUUGAUGACUUGAGCUGGUGUCGGUGUAGGUGAAACUUGAGUGGGUGUAGCUUGACUUGGAGCUUGUGACGUCUUGCUUGGUGGCAUGGUCAUAUCAUCCUCCCCUCCUUGAAAAGGAGUCGUCGUCGACUCUAAAGUGUCUUCACUUGUGAAUGGUGAGAGAUCAGCAACAUUGAAGGAGUUGCUCACACCAUAACUUGCAGGAACAUCAAUCUUGUAUGCAUUGUCAUUGAUCUUCUCAAGAACACCAAAUGAACCAUCUCCUCGUGGCAACAAUUUUGAUUUGCGCUGCUGAAGCAAACGAUCCUUGUUCAAGUGUAUCCAUACCAAGUCCCCGGGUUCGAAUAAUACCUUCUUCCUAUGUUUGUUCAUACUUGCAGCCUUGCGUCCUGCCUUGAGUUCAAUUGCUUCCUUGGUCUUCUCGUGUACCUUCUUGAUGUACGCAGCACGCUUGGAGGCUUCCAUAUUGGUUCUUUCCUGUAAUAGAAGGGGCAACAAAUCUAUCGGAGCAAUAGGUUUGAACCCAUAUACAAUUUCAAAAGGACACAUAUUAGUGGUAGAGUGUACAGCCCUGUUAUAUGCAAACUCCACAUGUGGCAAGCAUUCCUCCCAAACCUUCAGGUUCUUUUUCACCAUUGUUCGCAGCAACAUUGACAAUGUGCAAUUCACCACUUUCUUAUAUUUCACAAUGUAUAGAAAUAUUUCGAUGAACUCAACCCAUUUGACAUGACGACAGUUUAGUUUUGCUUGUCCUUUCAAGUACUUCAAAGCUUCAUAGUCAGAGUGAAUAACAAAUUCUUUUGGCCAUAAGUAGUGCUGCCAUGUUUCAAGGACACACACCAAAGCAUACAAUUCUUUGUCAUACACAAAAUAAUUCAAUUGAGCACCUCCUAGUUUCUCACUAAAAUAUGCUAUAGAUUUUCCUUGUUGCAUUAAAACUCCUCCUAUCCCAAUUCCACUAGCAUCACAUUCUAUUUCAAAAGUUUUAGUGAAAUCAGGAAGAACAAGUACAUGUGCUUCAGUCAAACGUUUGUUUAAUUCUUGAAAUGCAUUUUGUUGUGAUUUUUCCCAUUUAAAGUCAACACCUUUCUUUGUCAAUUCAUUCAAAGGAGCAGCGAUGGUACUGAAAUCUCUCACAAACCUCCUAUAAAAACCAGCAAGGCCAUGAAAACUUCUUAAUUGACUUACAUUCGUUGGAGUUGGCCAAUCUUUGAUGGCUUUCACCUUGCUUUCAUCCACUUCUAUGCCUUUUCCUGAAACAACAAAGCCAAGAAACACAACAUGGUCUGUGCAAAAUCUGCACUUGUCAAGAUCAGCAAAUAAUUUAUCCUUUCUAAGCACUUCCAAGACUUGCCAAAUAUGAUUCACAUGUUCCUCAAAAGACUUGUUGUAAAUUAAGAUAUCUUCGAAGUAGACAACAACAAAUUUUCCAAUGAAAGCUCUCAAGACAUGGUUCAUUAAUCUCAUGAAUGUACUAGGUGCAUUAGUCAAACCAAAAGACAUAACUAACCAUUCGUAUAAUCCAAAUUUUGUUUUAAAUGCAGUUUUCCAUCCAUCCCCUGUUUUCAUUCUUAUCUGAUUGUAUCCACCUCUCAAAUCAAUUUUAGUGAAUAUGGUGGAACCACUUAAUUCAUCAAACAUGCCAUCUAAACGUGGGAUAGGAUGGUGAUAGCAAACAGUGAUGUUAUUUAUAGCUCUACAAUCAACACACAUUCUCCAAGAACCAUAUUUCUUAGGUACUAAAAUUACAGGAACAACACAAGAACUUAAACUUUCACGAACAAAACCUUUAUCAAGAAGUUCUUGCAUUUGCCUUUGUAUCUCCUUUGUUUCUUCUAGAUUGGUUCGGUAUGGUGGUCGAUUAGGUAGUGCAGCCCCUGGAAUGAGAUCAAUUUGAUGCUCAAUCCCACGAAUGAGAGGUAGUCCCGCCGGUGUUUCUUCUAGAAAGACAUCUCCAUAGCCCUGGAAAAGGUGAGACACAACACUAGGAAGAGAGGUCAUGUCGUUAGCUGAAAUUAAAAUGUCUUUGUACACAAGUACAAAGAGCACAUGUUCAGGGUUGUUCCUCACUUCUCUCAAUUCAGAUUUUGUGGCAAGCAUGACUAAAUUCUCUCCCUCUACUUUCUUUUUCUCCCUCAAAUUGGGCUUGUGGCACUCACUCACCGAAUUAUGGAUGGCACUCAAUUUCUUUUGCUCUCCUUCCUCUCUACUCACUGGAACAAUUUCAGAUUUCUUUUGUAAAUGUUCAGCCAUGAUUUUUUGGGGUGUCAUAGGCUUGAGAACAAACUUCUUCCCCGGUAGAUUGAUAGUAAACUGAUUUGUUCUCCCACAAUGUUGGCUAUAUCGAUCAUAUUGCCAUGGCCUUCCAAGAAGCAAGUGACACAUCGACAUAGGUGCCACAUCACUCUCCACUGUGUCAACAUAUUGACCAAUCUUGAAUGAAACUUUCACUUUAUCUACAAUUUGAUAUCUUCCGAAUCAUUCAGCCAUUGUACAGUAUAUGGAUGAGGGUCUCGUAGCAGCUUCAAGCUAAGUUUAUCACUCAUCUCACGACUAGCAAGAUUAUGGCAGAUCCCUCCAUCAAUAAUCACCUUCACCUCUUUAUUAUGCACCUUUGCUCUAGUUUGAAAUAAUUUGUGUUGCUGCCCAUUUUCAGCUUCAUUUGCCUGAACACUCAAGAUUUGAGUCAUCUCAAGAGCAGCUCCUUGCUCAAACUCACAACAAGUAAGGUCCUCGUCUCCAUGGGCUUCCUCCUCAAUUCCCUCUUCACUAGCUGAUUCAUACUUUCCAUCAUCAUUCACAAUGAUCACCUGAGUAUUGGUGCACUCCUUACUUAUAUGCCCAUGGCCUCCACACUUGAAGCUCUGAAUUUCACUACUCCUGGAAGUAGAACCCACUGAAGUAGUGGUUGAUGCUGCUGGUUUUGAACUUGGGACAGCAGUGUUCUUUCCACUAAAAGUACCCUGAAAAUUAGAUCAAGAGCCUCCACUUGAGCUUUUCACCAUGGACGGUUCAGCAGCAAACUUUGUGUUUGAUUUGCUUCCUCCACAGAAAUUCCUCGUGGAUGGUUCAGCAGCAAAUUUUGGCAUGGUAAAUUUCAGUUUGCCAAAUCUUUCUUCAUGGUUGCCUCUUCUAUUACAUCAGCGACCAAAACUGAGUUGGAAGCAGUUGUCAUUAGCCUCAUCUUCAGAUUCAUCAUCAUUUCUUCCACUAUGUCUUCUUCCUUUACCAUGUGCAGCCCUCUGGUUCCUCUGACCUCCUCUUCUUCCAUCACUAUCUUCUCUAUCUCCACUAUGGUUGCUUGCACCAUCAUGAGGUGGACGAUGCCUUCUGAUUUCAGUCAUAAGAUUCUGAAGAUCUUGUGUCAACCUCUCUUGCUUUUCUUCCAUGCUUUGUCGGAGUUUAUUAAAUUGUGCUAUGGUAACAUGAUCUUUGAUGUCCACUCGACCCAUCUUCCUGUAAGGCUAGCUGAAUACAAAUAAUUUAUAUUUGUGGAAUAUAAAAAUUUGGUGGCUCUCACAACUCACCUCUCUAAUCACCAAAGCUCUUAUGAAUUCAUCUGCUGCAGAUUACAAGGAAAACAAAUGUGUGGUGGCAACUGAAAGUGAUGGUGAGGCGAAUACAAAAAUAGAGAGUACCGAUUACGAUGGUUUUUAUGUGGAGCUUGGUGGGGAGUAAUACACAAGGAAUGCAAUCUGAAUUCUAGUUGUUGUAAAGUUAAGUAACGAUCCAAACUAGAAGUUCUCGGCCUAGUGCUGACCACAAGAUAUGAAAAGAAGUAAAUGAUCACACACACGCACAAAGAAAAUUCAGAUUUGAUGCAAACAAGGAGUAUGAUUGGGAUGCAAGUGUUGCAAUCAGACCCAACCAAAGUUUUGCACCAAACAAAGAUAGCAAACUGGUUGUAGAACUUGAUAUGAAACUUUCAGCACUUGUGCACAUAAACCAACUAAUCUUUCAGACUUUCUCUCUGAACCUUUCUCAACUUCUUUUUUCACUUCAAUUUUUUUGCACUUUCUUUUCUUUCUUUUUUGACACACUUUUAUAUAUAUAUAUAUAUAUAGGACUAAAAACAGGGAUCAGAUUAUGAUACUUGCACAACUAAAGACAGAAAUAAAACAACAACCAGUAGCUAGAUACGAUCAAAGUUAACACAAAGGAUGAUAUAGGCUAUGGAGAUUUUUUUUGUGCGGAUUUUUAGAUAUAAAAGAGGCACAAAGAACACAUGAAGGAUAAAUGAUCAGCAACUAAAACAAAGACUCUAAUGGACUGCGACUUAACCGAACUCACUAAAAUAACAGAUUGAAACAAAGGUCUAAGCAAUAUAUUUUUCUGGCUUUUUGUGGAUAGGACGAAGCAANNNNNNNNNNNNNNNNNNNNNNNNNNNNNNNNNNNNNNNNNNNNNNNNNNNNNNNNNNNNNNNNNNNNNNNNNNNNNNNNNNNNNNNNNNNNNNNNNNNNNNNNNNNNNNNNNNNNNNNNNNNNNNNNNNNNNNNNNNNNNNNNNNNNNNNNNNNNNNNNNNNNNNNNNNNNNNNNNNNNNNNNNNNNNNNNNNNNNNNNNNNNNNNNNNNNNNNNNNNNNNNNNNNNNNNNNNNNNNNNNNNNNNNNNNNNNNNNNNNNNNNNNNNNNNNNNNNNNNNNNNNNNNNNNNNNNNNNNNNNNNNNNNNNNNNNNNNNNNNNNNNNNNNNNNNNNNNNNNNNNNNNNNNNNNNNNNNNNNNNNNNNNNNNNNNNNNNNNNNNNNNNNNNNNNNNNNNNNNNNNNNNNNNNNNNGAUUUCGUUACCCGGUAGGAAUUUUAUCCCUAGCUACAUAUAUAUUUUGCUUUGUCCUAUCCACCAAAAAGCCAGAAAAAUAUAUUGCUUAGACAUUUGUUUCAAUCUGUUAUUUUAGUGGGUUCGGUUAAGUCGCAGUCCAUUAGAGUCUUUGUUUUAGUUGCUGAUCAUUUAUCCUUCGCAUGUUCUUUGUGCCUCUUUCAUAUCUAAAAAUCCCCACAAAAAAUAUCUAUAGCCUAUAUCAUCCUUUGUGUUAACUUUGAUCCUAUCUAGCUACUGGUUGUUGUUUUAUUUCUGUCUUUAGUUGUGCAAGUAUCAUAAUCUGAUCCCUGUUUUUUGUUCUAUAUAUAAAAAAAGCGUGUCAAAAAAAAGAAAAGAAAGUGCAAAAAAAAGUGAAGUGAAAAAAAAGUUGAGAAAGGUUUAGAGAUAAAGUCUGAAAGAUUAGCUGGUUUAUGUGCACAAGUGCUGAAAGCUUCAUAUCAAGUUCUGCAACCAGUUUGCUAUCUUUGUUUGGUGCAAAACUUUGGUUGGGUCUGAUUGCAACACUUGCAUCCCAAUCAUACUCCUUGUUUGCAUCAAUUCUGAAAUUUCUUUGCGUGUGUGUGAUCUAUUUAUACACUUCGAAUCUUUUGAUCAGCACUAGGCAGAGAACUUCUAGUUUGGAUCGUUACUUAACUUUACAACAACUAGAAUUCAGAUUGCAUUCCUUGUGUAUUACUCCCCAUCAAGCUCCACAUAAAAACCAUCGUAAUCGGUACUCUCUGUUCUUGUAUUCGCCUCGCCAUCACUUUCAGUUGCCACCACACAUUUGUUUUCCUUGUAAUCUGCAGCAGAGGAAUUCAUAAGAGCUUUGGUGGUUAGAGAGGUGAGUUGUGAGAGCCACCAAAUUUUCAUAUUCCACAAAUAUAAAUUAUUUGUUUUCAGCUAACCUUACAGGAAGAUGGGUCGAGUGGACAUCAAAGAUCGUGUUACCAUAGCACAAUUUAUUAAACUCCGACAAAGCAUGGAAGAAAAGCAAGAGAGGUUGACACAAGAUCUUCAGAAUCUUAUGACUGAAAUCAGAAGGCAUCGUCCACCUCAUGAUGGUGCAAGCAACCAUAGUGGAGAUAGAGAAGAUAGUGAUGGAUGAAGAGGAGGUUGGAGGAACCAGAGGGCUGCACAUGGUAAAGGAAGAAGACAUAGUGGAAGAAAUGAUGACGAAUCUGAAGAUGAGGCUAAUGACAACCGCUUCCAACUCAGUUUUGGUCGUCGAUGUCAUAGAAGAGGCAACCAUGAAGAAAGAUUUGGCAAACUGAAAUUUACCAUGCCAAAAUUUGCUGCUGAACCAUCCACGAGGAAUUUCUGUGGAGGAAGCAAAUCAAACACAAAGUUUGUUGUUGAACCAUCUAUGGUGAAAGACUCAAGUAGAGGCUCACGAUCUAAUUUUCAGGGUACUUUUCGUGCAAAGAACACUGCUGUCCCAAGUUUAAAACCAGCAACAUCAACCACUACUUCAGUGGGUUCUACUUCCAGGAGUAGUGAAAUUCAGAGCUUCAAGUGUGGAGGCCAUGGGCAUAUAAGUAAGGAUUGCACCAAUACUCAGGUGAUCAUUGUGAAUGAUGAUGGAAAGUAUGAAUCAGCUAGUGAAGAGGGAAUUGAGGAGGAAGCCCAUGGAGACGAGGAUCUUACUUGUUGUGAGUUUGAGCAAGGAGCUGCUCUUGAGAUGACUCAAAUCUUGAGUGUUCGGGCAAAUGAAGCUGAAAAUGGGCAGCAACACAAAUUAUUUCAAACUAGAGCAAAGGUGCAUGAUAAAGAGUUGAAGGUGAUUAUUGAUGGAGGGAGCUGCCAUAAUCUUGCUAGUCGUGAGAUGGGUGAUAAACUUGGCUUGAAGCUGCUACGACACCCUCAUCCAUAUAAUGUACAGUGGUUGAUUGAUUCGGAAGAUAUCAAGAUUGGAUAUAAAGUGAAAGUUCCAUUCAAGAUUGGUGAAUAUGUUGACACAGUGGAGUGUGAUGUGGCACCUAUGUCGGUGUGUCACUUGCUGCUUGGAAGACCAUGGCAAUAUGAUCGAUAUAGCCAACAUUGUGGGAGAACAAAUUAGUUUACUAUCAAUCUAACGGGGAAGAAGUUUGUUCUCAAGCCUAUGACACCCUAACAAAUCAUGGCUGAACAUUUACAAAAGAAAUCUGAAAUUGUUCCAGUAAGUAGAGAGGAAGGAGAGCAAAAGAAAUUGAGUGCCAUCCACAAUUCGGUGAGUGAGUGCCACAAGCCAAAUUUGAGGGAGAAAAAGAAAGGAGAGAUAGAGAAUUUAGUCAUGCUAGCCACAAAAUCUGAAAUGAGAGAAGUGAGGAACAACCCCGAACAAGUACUCUUUGUACUUGUGUACAAAGACAUUUUAAUUUCAGCUAACGACAUGACCUCUCUUCCUAGUGUUGUGUCUCAUCUUUUGCAGGACUAUGGAGAUGUCUUUCCAGAAGAAACACCGGCGGGACUACCUCCAAUUCGUGGGAUUGAGCAUCAAAUUGAUCUCAUUUCAGGGGCUGCACUACCUAAUCGACCACCAUACCGAACCAAUUCAGAAGAAACAAAGGAGAUACAAAAGCAAGUGCAAGAACUUCUUGAUAAAGGUUUUGUUCGUGAAAGUUUAAGUCCUUGUGCUGUUCCUCCAAUUUUAGUACCUAAGAAAAAUGGUUCUUGGAGAAUGUGUGUUGAUUGUAGAGCUAUAAAUAGCAUCACUGUUCGCUAUCACCACCCUAUCCCACGUUUAGAUGACACGCUUGAUGAAUUAAGUGGUUCCACCAUAUUCACUAAAAUUGAUUUGAGAAGUGGAUACCAUCAGAUAAGAAUGAAAACAGGGGAUAAAUGGAAAACUGCAUUUAAAACAAUAUUUGGGCUGUAUGAAUGGUUAGUUAUGCCUUUUGGUUUGACUAAUGCUCCUAGUACUUUCAUGAGAUUAAUGAACCUUGUCUUGAGAGCUUUCAUUGGAAAAUUUGUUGUUGUCUACUUCGAUAAUAUCUUAAUUUACAGCAAGUCUUCUGAGGAACAUGUGAAUCAUAUUUGGCAAGUCUUGGAAGUGCUUAGAAAGGAUAAAUUAUUUGCUGAUCUUGACAAGUGCAGUUUUUGCACAGACCAUGUUGUGUUUCUUGGCUUUGUUGUUUCAGGAAAAGGCAUAGAAGUGGAUGAAAGCAAGGAGAAAGCCAUCAAAGAUUGGCCAACUCCAACGAAUGUAAGUCAAGUAAGAAGUUUUCAUGGCCUUGCUGGUUUUUAUAGGAGGUUUGUGAGAGAUUUCAGUAUCAUCGCUGCUCCUUUCAAUGAAUUGACAAAGAAAGGUGUUGACUUUAAAUGGGAAAAAUCACAACAAAAUGCAUUUCAAGAAUUAAAGAAACGUUUGACUGAAGCACAUGUACUUGUUCUUCCUGAUUUCACUAAAACUUUUGAAAUAGAAUGUGAUGCUAGUGGAAUUGGGAUAGGAUGUGUUUUAAUGCAACAAGGAAAACCUAUAGCAUAUUUUAGUGAGAAACUAGGAGGUGCUCAAUUGAAUUAUUUUGUGUAUGACAAAGAAUUGUAAGCUUUGGUGUGUGUGCUUGAAACAUGGCAGAACUACUUAUGGCCAAAAGAAUUUGUUAUUCACUCUGACUAUGAAUCUUUGAAGUACUUGAAAGGACAAGCAAAACUAAACUGUCGUCAUGUCAAAUGGGUUGAGUUCAUCGAAACAUUUCUAUACAUUGUGAAAUAUAAGAAAGUGGUGAAUUGCACAUUGUCAAUGUUGCUGCGAACAAUGGUGAAAAAGAACCUGAAGGUUUGGGAGGAAUGCUUGCCACAUGUGGAGUUUGCAUAUAACAGGGCAGUACACUCUACCACUAAUAUGUGUCCUUUUGAAAUUGUAUAUGGGUUCAAACCUAUUGCUCCGAUAGAUUUGUUGCCCCUUCUAUUACAGGAAAGAACCAAUAUGGAAGCCUCCAAGCGUGCUGCACACAUCAAAAAGGUACACGAGAAGACUAAGGAAGCAAUUGAACUCAAGGCAGGACGCAAGGCUGCAAGUAUGAACAAACAUAGGAAGAAGGUGUUAUUUGAACCCGGGGACUUGGUGUGGAUACACUUGCGCAAGGAUCGUUUUCCUCAGCAGCGCAAAUCAAAAUUGCUGCCAUGAGGAGAUGGUCCAUUUCGUGUUCUUGAGAAGAUCAAUGACAAUGCAUACAAGAUUGAUCUUCCUGCAAGUUAUGGUGUGAGCAACUCCUUCAAUGUUGCUGAUCUCUCACCAUUCACAAGUGAAGACACUUUAGAGUCGAGGACGACUCCUUUUCAAGGGGGGAGGAUGAUAUGACCAUGCCACUAAGCAAGAUGUCACAAGCUCCUAGUUAAGCUACACCCACUCAAGUUUCACCUACACCGACACCAGCUCAAGUCAUCAAUGGACCGAUUACACGUAGUCGUGCAAAGAAGCUACAACAAUAGGUCCACGCGCUACUUUAUGAGGUUCAUUUUAACAUUAAUGAAAAUUAUAUACUACCUAAGUGUUGUACCUUGAUUGUACUCAGGUAUAUAGAAGAAGAGAAGGAAGAAUCGAACCAUGAAGAACGGCCCAGUGCAAGUUCUAGAAGAAGUCAAAAACGGAUCAGUAGAAGUCAAAAACGGACCAGUGCAAAGAAUCUUCAUAACUUUUUACUCACAAAAGCUAUGAAGGUCCAUGAGCACUUGUUGGAAAGCUUGACGAGUCUACUUUCCAAUGAAUCUAGUGCCGACCAGUUUGGAUACCCCAUAUUGCCUGCAGACCAGAAUUAGUACAGACUGCUCAGAAGGUCAACAGUCUAUCGUGACAGAAUAUUGGUACAACUUGCCAAGUUAAACUGUACCAAUCUACCAUGUUUCGUGCUGGUUGGCUUACAUUGCUAGAAAUCCCUUUGAGUCUAGUUUCACACCCAAGAAACGGUUCAUCAUUUGGACUUUCCAAUAAAAAGUUAUGGUCAGUUUAUUGGAAACUGCUCUGGAGGCCAACAGUCACGCGAAGCCACUUCAGGAAUCCAUUUCGAGGGGACCUUUCACAUUGCCUUCCCUCAGAAACUCUAUUUCGUUUUCAUACCUAUCUAGCAGGGCUGUUGCUAGUAUAAAUACCACCUAAGACUCAUUGUAAUCUCAGACUUUGAUAAUUGAAAUACAGAACCUCUUUGUUCAGGUGCGUGCUAACAAAUCCAGAGAGUGAUCUCUACCCCUUUGCUCUUGUGAUUUUCUCAUGGGAUUACAUAGGCGGCGGCUUCAUCUACUCCCAGUUGGUGCUCCUACUCCCUUCAAGGUAUUCCUUGAUUGAUUGUAGGCUGUGUUGGUUGGUUCCUUGAGAGUGUGGUUGGGCAAAUCCUCGAUUCUGGUUGCCGGUUAAAGACGGUGAUUGGCUUCAAGUUUUAUUUGCCAGGUUGCACUAGUUAUCGCUGCUUGCAGCAAGUUAUCCGGCUGUUCUUCAGCUAGUUAUCGGUGUUCAUCCUACGUCGUGAAGAUCGGGACAACGUGUCGCAUCACUUCGACAAUAUCUCUGUGGAAUCGCUGUGCAAAGAAAUCGAACUGAAGGCGUUUAUGUAUAUGAACAUUAAGCCACAUGUUGAUGAACCACCAGGGGCCUCCUAGGUUGCCGAUGGGUUCACCUAACAGGAGCUUCUCAGUCACUUGGUGGAGGAGGUGGCAGGCAGAACCUAGUAGGUAUCGACCAAGAGGGAAUCGACCACCAUCGGCUAACCUUUCUGCUGCCGAUAGGUAGACAGAGGUUGGUCCUACCGAUCGGCCAUAGAAGACAAAUUUGUCUAGCCACAUGUUCAGGAAAAUGGCAUGUUCCCUUUGGCUGACUGGUCCUGUUCUCUGGUACUCCUGGAUAUAUCCUGACGAACAGCCGAUGUUGUGGGUUUCUACCUUGCGUUCAGCCUUACGGUCGUACAGAUGGCCAUCAUCGGCAGAUGCAAUAUCUAAACCAGUGAGCAUGAACACAUCGACAAGAGUGGGGGAAGCAGGACCGUGGCUAAAUAGGAAAACAUUGAGAGUAUCUCACUAGAAAUAUGUGGCAGCUAUCAAUAGUGACUCAUUUCUAUCCAUAUCGGCAAUGGAUAGCCUGAUGCACUGGUCUAAUUUGUGUUUGCCCCAGUGUACUUCAUUUGAGUUACUAACUCUCAAGAACCAAUCUGUAACACCCCAGUGUUAUGGUUACAUCAAACAUGUGCAUAGCAUGAGCAUCAUCAUGUAUUCAAAGCAUCCAUGAUCAUCAUCUAUCUUGAGACAUGUCAUCCUUUGUAAAAAUGUGUUUUAAAUUGCUUAAAUAGGCUUCCUAUGCUUAUGUUUGAGUGAACAAUGCUUGUGUUUGUGCUUAAUGCCUUGGUAAAUAGUUUAUCUAUGCUUGACUUAAUCUUGGGAACAAUGUUCAUGUUGAUCACUUCUCCAAAAUAAUCACUUAAGUCUUACUUAUGCAAAUAGGCCCUAGAAACCUCUUUUGCUUAGGCUUUUAAAAAGAGUUUCAUAAAUUGUUUGCAUGUCAAAACUUCCUACAGCAAAGUUGUAGCAAAUUUUAUAAGGAACAAAAGUUGUUUUAUGGCCAUCUCAUGAAAAUGAUCACAAAUAGCUCAAAAGUGGUCCACAAGGCAGAUUUGGGGCUGUUUUCCACACUUAGAAAUUUUCUAAGUCCCCGGGUGGUUUGCAGUUUGCGUGAUCGAUUUUGGAAACUCUAUAUCUUUCAAUCCAGGCCGAUCUGGCCUUUGCUCUAGUUGACAAAGUUGUAGAUCUCGUCUAGUACUCCAAGUUUGUCAACUACGCCAUCUCCUAAUUCGCUCUGGUUUGGGAGAUAAUCACCGGUGAAGUCGCUCUGUCAGUCGGUCGAUGCACUGUCUGAAUCGACUUGGACCUCGUCGACGUGGCCGACCGCCGGCAGCGCUCCGUCGCCAUUUGGCGCCCGUACGCCGUUCCUGGCCCCGCUUGUCAGCUCUCGUCGCGUGCAUGACCACCACGGCGUCGCCCCGAGCGCGUGGACGCGUCCAUUUCGCUCUGCCUCGCCCUCUCUCGCCUGAACCUCGCCCGCAGCGAGCUCUCCGCCGCGAGCUCACUCCGGCGAGCUCGUGUGCGCUCCUCUCUGCGUUUCCGUCCACCAAACUCCACCCAAAGCUCCGCCGUGAGCCGCUCUCCAAGCUCCACCCUUUAACUCGCCGAGAAACCCACCGGUGAGCCGACAUUUCUUUCUUCCCCCAAAUCGGUCCGCCGUGACCCUCUCCUCCGGCGAACUCAAUGCCGAGCGCUGUGAGGCUUCUCAUCGGCUUUGGUUAGGUGCUAGAGGUAGCUUAGGUCCUUAGCGAGCUUUUGCGCCACCUGGUGGACGCUCUACCGGGUUCUCCGUCGCCGGACACGGUGCGCAGCGCCGCCGUGCUUCCGCCGGAGUUGGGUGCUCUCGUGGCCAGCGCUUUCCACGGGGAUCCAGGUCAAGCUGCGUACCUAGGAAGCUUCGCCCGAGUCUGCUGGUGCUGUAGAAGGCCUUAGGUCACGCUCUACCGGCCUGAGGACUCCGGCGUAACGCCGAGCACCUCCGCCGAGCCGCCAUUGUCGACGGUGAGCUCCUUCCGGUGGCUCCGCCGUGGCAAAAGUAGGGUCAAUCGAGUCGUUAGGGUUUGGGGAUCACGUUGAUGCCCUGGGUUUGGCCGGAGACCUCGCCGUCGCGGAGAAAUCGCCGGCGAAGAUCGCCUCGGCCGUGAGGAAGAAGAGCCUGACGGGUGGGACCCACUGUCAGCGACUCUCUCUUUCCCUCCUUUUCUUUUAUUCAAAAUCCUGAUUUUUGGCUUUCUUGCAAAAAUCAUAUCUCCUGUUUCUGAGAUCCAAAAAUUGUGAAACAAAUUUUGUGUUGUUUCUUGAGAUGGCUAGUAUUUAAUAAAAAUAUAAAAUGAAUCAUGUUUUCUGGGAAAUUAUUUAUUAAGGAUUUAAUCUUGUUAUUUAUGGAUAAAUGCAUAUCUCUGGUCAUACUGCUUAGUUUGCUUUGAAAAUUUUAUGGUAGUCUUUGCAUGGCAUUAGGGUGCUCUGAUAAAUAUUUCAUGAUUUUUGGAGCACUGCAGUGGUGAUAUGUAAUUUGUGUUUGAAAUAUGGCUUGUUUCUUUAAUUAAAUCACAUAAAAUAAUUGGUGCUUAUGCUGGUGCUCUAUUUUGGUGGUAAACUUGUUUAUGGUAUUCCUAAGAUGUAAAUAAUCUGAAAUCUGUUGUUUGACAUUAUAUAAGUCAUGUUUAUGAAUUUAUGAAAUAAAUGCCUUGAUACAUGUUAAAUGCAUAUCUUUAAUUUGGCAUGUGCAUUGGUCCUGAAAUUUUUAUGGUGGUGAUCUGAUGUUAUCCUUGUGCCUCUGUAAUUUUUGUAGAUUUUUUCUGAGCACUUUAACUAAUAUCUUGUAAAUAUGCCUUAUCUAAAAUUAAUUAAUAAAUGCCUUGUUAAGUAAUUGUUUUGGGGUUUUCAACUGAUGAUCUGGUGACCUUGUAUUAUGUUUGUGCUCAUGAGUCAUAUGGUUGGCCUAGUUUAUGCUUUGAUCAUGUCAUUAAAUAAUUAACUAUAGGGUUAAAUGCUGUUUGGACAGCAAGUGAAUAAAUUAACUUUGCUUAAUGAUAAGUUGACUUUCUGUGAAACUUAUAUAAAACAAAGUUGUUCCAAACUUGUUGAACUAACUGUGGUUUAAAUUUGAGGUCAUUUGGCCAAGUAGUUUAAAAGUUAUAGCUGUUCCAAGUUGGGUUCCAGAAAUAGGGGUUCUCUGUUUUUCUGGAACAGAAUCUGGAACUUUGUUAAAAUGACUAAUUUAAUGUUUGAAUCUUGCUGUCAUGUUUAAAGAUGAGUUGUAGACAAUUUCCUAAGCUUUCCAGAAUGUCCUCACUCAUGUUUGUUGGACCUGUCUAUCUAUACUUAGGAUUUAUUUACUGAGCAUACUUGUUUAUGUUGCUUGCUGCUUUAGUGCCAUGAUAGGUUUUGGGUUAUGUUAACUUGUUUAUUCAUGUGAGUUAGUAUAACUCUUGUUCCGUAAAUGAGUGUCCAGUGAGUUGCUUGUGUUGUUAAGCAUUCAUCUGUAGCAUGUGCACUUUCUCAUUAAUCGAGCAUGCAAUAGGUGCACCGGACGUGGCAGCUUCCUUCGAGCUCCAAGCGAAUCCCGAAGGCCAGGAAGGCAGCCAGGAGGUGGAGGUCCAGCAAGCCGGACUCGAGGAGCCCGAAGAAGAAGUUGAGUGCCCAAGUCACGAGCCGGCAUCGUUCGUGAAAGGCAAGCCCCGGAGCAUUUUAAGCCUCCUCUAUUUUCGAAAGUUUACUUAAUACGUUAUAUCUAUUGAUGCAUUACGUAUAGGAGUUGUGAUGAAACUGUUGCUGCAUCCUACUCUAUCCUUGUCCAGAUAACUUACCCUCCCUGGUUGUAGAGUUAGGAUCGAGUAGCAGCUUAGUUAUGCUUUAACCGGUAGAAGUCGGGUGAUAUCCUGUCAUCCGCGCGAUAUAGGGUUGUGUCGGAUCACGAUGGUCUAUAUGUGCUAUCGUGGAUGGAACCUGAUUAAAUUGACUUAAGCCGGGCGGAGUUUUGCAAGUGUGUAGUAACUCCGUCUGUGGCAGCUAAGGACCGAUCGUUGUACGUCCUCUUGUCAUGUUGAACGCAUGCCUGACACUUAGUUGGCCGGAUAACUCGUUCCGACCGCGAAGCCGAGUAGUAUGACUCAGGCCGGAAGACCGGCAAGUAUAAAGUGCGCACUACCGGAGGAAGUGCGGUGUGCGGGGGACCAUUGGCGUAAGCCCAAAGGCAGGUGAGUUAAAAUUCCUGACCUCCCUGGCAGAGUGGUAGCCCUGGGAGUGCGGCGCUGAUCGGAGCCGCGAUUCCUGAGUUGUACCAAAGGUAACCCGUUGGCUCUCCGGCAGGGGAUGCUUGGGUGAGUGCUAGGAGUAAACCUCCAGCUGGAUAGGAAUUCGAUUCGAAUCGCCGUCUCUCCCGGUUAGUGAGAACUUGACAGAGCAGCGGCAAACGUAGCAUUCACUAAUAAACUUGGUUCAUGAUAACAAUGAUAGCAAGAAGAACAUAUGAUGAAUUUUGAUAUGGUUACUAUUGUCUGUAAUAAUCAAGUGAUGUGUUGUAGUACAGGUGCUAAUCUAGUGGUAGGCUGUUGAUAAAUAAAUUGAUGCUCUUAAAAUGAUUUAGUUGUAAGUUAAGCUUUUGGCAAAAAGGUGAGUCAGUCAGCUCCACUUAAAAUUUAGCUUUGCAUGAUCCUUGGUGUCUUUUGUGUUUUACUAGACGGGUAAGUCUAGCUGAGUACAUCCUCGUACUCAGGGUUUAUUCCCACCUGUUGCAGAUGAUAUCUUCUAUGACGGUUUCUGCAAGACCUGUCUCCAUCCCGCUGGGGAUGAGGACUAACCGUUGGGCACGGUUCUCUAAUCUUCUCAUCUAUGAUGCUUUUGGAAGGAUGACCUAGACUCUGGCAGUAACAAGCUUGUGAACUGAGUUUUAAACAAGUGUGUGUACUUAUUUUGCUUCCGCUACUUCGAACAUGGGUUGUAAUAACUUAAUACUCCGAUGUGGUGCCGCUUCGACGGCAAUGAAUGACUAUGUAACAUUCGUUGUGUUUAUGUUGAACUAUUACGAUCUUGGUUUGUUGCGAGUUGGUUUGAAGUCCUUCGUGAUUUCGAUUGACUACCGGGAUUAUAUGGGCUCAAGUCUAGAAACUUGAUUGUUUGACGAUCGUUUCUGCACUUGAACUCUUAUAAUUUGGUCGGUUCUGUGACAGCUGGCAUCGGAGCAGGUUCAGCAUUAUAAAUGCAGCGUUUGUGUAUUUAAAACAAAAGAAUUUUUAAAUAAAAUGGUGUAAAACAAAUAAUUAAGUUAUGCCAGUGGUCGAAUCCUCCUUGCCCAUAUAAGGACUCUAGGUGGCUAUUUAAGUACUGACUUGGGGGGUGUUAUUUAUGCAUCUUCGGCAGUACUCAGGUAUGGAUGUGUGAUGACCGCACUAUGCUACCCUGUGGUCUAAUGGUGGAGGUAGCCUUCAUAUGUGAAUUAGCCACAUAUGUCGCUAGAUUUAAAAUUAUGCAACGUCGCACCUACGCUCAGGUAAGUGUGAGCUGUGAGAGCAUGAUCGUCCAAACGGCGGUCUAGGGGAGUGUUCGCGGUGGUUUUCUGGAAUGGUUACAUGUCGAAACCAUGGAGCCACGAAAGAAACUUAAUUGGGGAGUAUUUAUUUCUCGGGUAGUUGUGGUGUCAUUGUUGGGGCAUGUUGGGCAUGUCCAAGCAAUGUGCACUUAGUUUACUGCUUUCUUAAGUGAUAUAUUGGGGACUGUUGGGCUGAAAUGAAGUUUUCUGCAGGUACUCUAACAGCGCACGUGUAAACCGAUAGUUACCGUAUCGAGAGACGAAUGUAUGCCACCGUAUAUCCGUUAGAAUAUUAAUUUUCUAAGUUUGUGAGGACGUACGGUUCGUGCAUGCAUCAUGUCGCAUUCAUACAUACAUUCUGUCCGUUUCUUCCCUUACAAUUUCGCCCCUUUUUAAAUAAAUAAAUGUGCUUCAACUGAUCCUCUUUUACCCAUGGCAUUCCUAUUCCUAUCCACAGAUGGACGCACCCGCUUCACCUCGUCCCAGUGACACUUUCUUGCACGAGUUUGGUACUCCUACCCUGCUCUGGAGAGUGUUACGGACUGUUGGGUAUACUGAGCCACCUCAGUAUUCUUGGUGGGAGGUGGAGAGUGCAGGAGGGAUCCAGUGGUUUGCUGUGCAGGGAGUUGUCCCUCCACAUGGGGACAAGCCUGCAUGGACAGGCUGGAAUUGCAGCUCAGAUGGGCAGACUCCUUGGGAGGCAGCUCAGGUUGCAGCCCAGGCUAUCCUGCUCGACAUCUGUCAGAGGUGUGGUGACGAGCUGACAGGAGGACCAGCGGCCUCCAUUCCUAGUGCUGACCCAGCAGCCGCGGAGUGGAAACAGGCUGAUGGUUGUGCUUUGGUUCGAGGUAGAGGAGAGAGAGCUGAGAGCUCUAGUCCUGCUAUGAGUGCUAUGAUGGCUGUACUCAAGCUGAUCAGUCAGCGAGAGGGCACCUAUGCACAGGUGAUGGUGGCUGUUCGCAGGGCUCAGGAGAUGCAGCGGAAGGCUGAAAAGCGUGCUCGCAAGUUUCGCAAACAAGCUAGACUCCUGGAGCAAACUCAGAAGGACCGCAAUGACUGGGAGGACAUAGCGGAGUACCGUAGACAGCAGUGGGUGAAGGCCAUCAGGGAGAGAGAUCAUAAGCAGGAUCAGAUGAGCCAGUUAGCUCGAGAGAAGGAGACCUUGCAGGAGCGCUUGGUGCAGCUCACCCGUGAGAGGGAUACUGCACUCCGUGUGUCGGAGAACAGGCGCCGAGCAUGGGAGAUGCACCGAGUUCAGUCGCUUGAGCGGGAGAACUAUCUACAGGGUCAGAUUGAGGCUGGUCUUGUGGAGAUUCACCGUCUCAACAACUUGCUACACCCUAUUCCUCGCCCUAUACCAGUGUAUCCGGAGGUGGGACCUCAGGUGAUUGUGGCCGAUGAUGAUGGUAUGGAGGUUGAUGGACCAGCAGCGGCUGCACCACCUUUACACGAGGACGUGGAGGACGAGGAGCUUGAGCCGGUUAGCGACGAGGAUGGAGAGGCGAUCUUCGACGCUGAUUCGGACGACGAGCCUGGAGUGUAGGGAGUAGUGAGUAGUUGUUGCCAGGAUCUUUGGGUUGUAUGCCAGUCGGUUAUGGUGCUUUUGUAACCAUGUUGUAAUCCGAAACUUUGACCUUGACUCAUGGCAUGUACUGAAAGGGUGUAAUAACUUCAUGGACCUUAUGUGCAGUCUUUAUGAUCGUUAUGUUAUGCCGAUGUUUUCCGUUGUGGUGCGUAUUGCGGAUAUCUAUGUCAUGUGUUGGAUUGGUGAUGUUGUUUUGUGGAAUGGAAUUGUUGUGCCUUUCUGUAAAGCUAUUCUCUCGAAUACUUUCAGGCAUGAAUAUAAGUUCUUCUACGGCAAAUCCUGUCAUCAUCAAUGCUCACUGACUGUGUCUUUACAGAUGUCUCGUGGCACCCGGGGUGCGGAACAGCGUGCAAACAUGAAUCCACCACCUCCUCCUCCACUACCAAACCCAGCUGAACUGAUGCAAAUGAUGGUGGAAAACCAGAGGAUGCUCACUGAGACCAUCACUCGGAUGGCAAAUCAGGGUGGCCGUAAUGCACAAGAAGGGCCAGCUCCUAACCAGUAUAGUAGCUUCAAGGAUUUCAUGGAUACGAAGCCCCCACCUUUCAGAGAAGCUGAGGAACCCCUUCAAGCUGAAGAGUGGCUGAAUACGGUGGAACAAAAGUUUCGCCUACUUCGUUUGACUGAAGGUUUGAAGGCGGAGUAUGCAGCUCAUCAACUGCAAGGGCCGGCAGGCAUCUGGUGGAACCAGUAUCGGGAAGCUCUUCCAGCCGACACCGUGCUCGAUUGGAAUCUUUUCCGCGAUGCUUUCAAAGGGCAUUUCAUUCCUCCGGGUGUUAUGGAGAUGAAACACACCGAGUUCAUGCAGCUGACUCAGGGCAACAAGACUCUGAAGGAGUAUUUGCAUGCUUUCAAUCACUUGUCUAGGUAUGCUCCUGAGUUUGUGAACACGGAGACGAAAAAGAUCGCUAGUUUCAAGCGGGGUUUGGGUCCCAAAUUGCUGAAGACUAUGGGCCGCACUAGGUGUACAACUUUCAAUGAGUUUGUCAGUGAUGCUCUUACUCAAGAGAAUUAUAACACUGUGUACACUGCGACCAAGACUCGCAAGAGGGCUUUUGAGGUCGGGGCAGGAUCAUCUCAGUCCAAGGCUCCAGUGGCAGUUAAGCCACCAUUCCGUGCUCCAACCCCCAACCAGCGAUACCGCCCUCCAAUGAAGAAGAAUCAGGCAAAGACGGGUUUUCGCAAGGGGUACUCUAUUGCUCUUCCUAGGGGCAACACGGGUCCCAACUAUGCCAAGACUCCACCUGCCAACCGUCCGUGCUGGAACUGCAAUCAGACCGGGCAUUGGCAGAGCAACUGUCCUUACCCGCCAAAGAAGGGCAACCAGGGGAACGUCCGUCAGGGGCGUGUUCAUUACACAACUGUGGAGGCAAUCCCUGCUGGUGAGGUAGUCACGGCUGGUAAGUUUCCGGUCAACCAACAUGAUGCACUCGUGCUUUUUGAUUCUGGAGCAUCGCAUUCCUUUGUGAGUUCUGAAUUUAUAUCUAAGCAUAGCAUCAAGACCAUCACACUUGAUAAGGGCAGUUAUUGUAUUAGUGCUGCGGGAAAUGAUAUUUCCACCAAUCAAGUGGUUUUAGGGGCAACUCUGGAGAUAGGAGGCCGUCAGUUUCUUGCUGAUCUGGUUGUUUUACCCGGUGUGGGCAUAGAUGUAAUUCUGGGGAUGAAGUGGAUGAGUGGUAAUGGAGUUCUUAUUGACACCACCACUCGCGUAGUGAUGUUGAAAGACCCAGAUACCAAGGAGGCAUUUCUAGUGCAACUCCCUCGUGAUAUCCAAAUCCGUAGCACUGUGAAUGCAGUUACCUCUAAGGCUAUUCAGGAUAUUCCGGUGGUGUGUGAGUUUCCGGAUGUUUUUCCUGAUGAUCUACCCGGGCUUCCUCCGGAUCGGGAUGUGGAGUUUAAAAUUGAAUUGAUUCCAGGCACCGCUCCGAUCUCUAGAAGACCUUAUAGGAUGCCGCCCAAUGAAUUAGCUGAGCUUAAGACCCAACUAAAUGAGUUGUUGCAGAAGGGUCUUAUUCGUCCUAGUUCUUCUCCUUGGGGUUGUCCGGCUAUCUUUGUGAAGAAGAAGGAUCAGUCUUUGCGCAUGUGUGUGGACUAUCGUCCCCUAAAUGCAGUGACUAUCAAGAACAAAUACCCUCUCCCUCGCAUUGACAUCCUGUUUGAUCAGUUGUCUAAAGCUAAGGUAUUCUCCAAGAUUGAUUUGCGAUCUGGGUACCAUCAGAUCAAGAUUCGUCCCGAAGAUAUACCUAAGACGGCUUUCUCGACGAGGUAUGGGUUGUAUGAGUACCUUGUCAUGUCCUUCGGGCUUACGAAUGCACCUGCUCAUUUCAUGUAUCUUAUGAAUUCGGUGUUCAUGCCCGAAUUGGACAAGUUUGUAGUGGUCUUCAUUGAUGAUAUCUUGGUAUAUUCUUGCAAUGAAGAGGAGCAUGCAGAGCAUCUGCGUGUCGUGUUGUCGCGUUUGCGCGAACAUCAGCUUUAUGCUAAGUUUAGCAAAUGCGAGUUUUGGCUAAAGAAAGUACCUUUCUUGGGCCAUGUCUUAUCUGAAGAAGGCAUAUCAGUAGAUCCGGCUAAGGUGCAAGAGGUGCUGGAUUGGAAAGUUCCAACUUCGGUACACGAGGUUCGGAGUUUUCUUGGUCUGGCUGGGUAUUACCGUCGAUUCAUUACGGAGUUCUCCAAAAUAUCCAAGCCUAUGACUCGUCUACUUCAGAAAGAUGAGAAGUUUGUGUGGACACCUGAAUGUGAAGAGGCAUUCCACAAGUUGAGGACACUGUUGACAUCAGCUCCUGUCCUAGCUCAACCUGAUAUCGAGAAGCCUUUCGAUGUCUUUUGUGACGCAUCAGGCAUUGGUUUAGGCUGUGUGUUGAUGCAGGAAGGUCGAGUUAUCGCGUAUGCCUCGCGCCAACUUCGAAAGCAUGAGGUCAAUUACCCCACUCAUGACUUAGAAUUGGCGGCAGUUGUUCAUGCUUUGAAAAUCUGGAGGCAUUAUUUGCUGGGUAAUCUGUGUAAUAUCUACACCGAUCAUAAGAGCCUCAAGUAUAUCUUCACUCAACCUGAACUGAACAUGCGGCAGCGAAGGUGGCUUGAGUUGAUUAAAGACUAUAAUCUCCAAGUGCACUAUCAUCCGGGCAAGGCCAACGUGGUAGCGGAUGCCUUGAGUCGGAAAGCGCACUGUCACUCAAUUCAAGUGGAAGAUCCGUUGUUGUCACAUCUUAUGCAUCCACUUGUGCUCAACCAGAUUUCUCUGGAAAGUACCAUUCGCAAUCGAGUCAUCGAAUUGCAGCAGACAGAUGUAGGCAUCUACCAUAUCAAGAGAAAGAUGAAAGAAGAGGAAACCAAGCAUUUCCGAGUUGAUGAAAACGGAAUCCUUUGGUUCAAGGAUCGACUUGUGGUCCCAAAAGACCGCGAGCUGCGAAAUCAGAUCCUAUCUGAAGCUCAUUCAUCCAAAAUGUCUAUCCAUCCUGGUAGUAGCAAGAUGUAUCAGGAUCUGAAACCUUUGUUUUGGUGGACAAAGAUGAAAAAGGAGAUAGCGGCUUUCGUCGCUCGCUGUGACAAUUGUUGUCGCGUGAAGGCUGUUCACAUGAAAGCUGGUUUGCUUCAACCCUUGUCCAUUCCUGGUUGGAAAUGGGAAGAAGUCAGUAUGGAUUUCAUCAGUGGACUCCCAGCUUCUGUCAAGGGUUAUGACUCUAUCUGGGUGGUUGUGGAUCGUUUGACCAAGGUUGCUCGAUUUAUUCCAGUCCGAACUGAUUAUCGUCCCCAUCAGUAUGCGGAGUUGUAUUUCGAGCACAUUGUUCGUCAGUAUGGUGUACCUCGAACAAUCAUAUCUGAUCGUGGGCCACAGUUCACUGCUCGUUUUUGGGAAUGUCUUCAUGAGCAGAUUGGUACCCACUUGGUCCGCAGUUCUGCUUAUCAUCCCCAAACAGCAGGUCAAACUGAACGAGUUAACUAGAUCCUUGAAGAUAUGUUGAGGGCAUGUGCUCUCUCGUCAAAAGGUUCUUGGGUCAAGUGGUUGCCAUUAGCUGAGUUCUCCUACAACAACAGUUAUCAGGAGAGUAUUAAAAUGGCUCCAUUUGAAGCCUUGUACGGUCGAAAGUGUCGAACCCCGUUGAAUUGGGUAGAAGCUGGAGAGCGAAGAUACUACGGCAUCGAUUUCGUGAACGAAGCGGAGCAGAAAGUCCGUGUUAUCCAGCAACAUCUGGAAGCUGCUCAAGCUCGUCAGAAAAGUUAUGCUGACAAGAGAAGGAAGCCGAUUGAGUUUUCAGUUGGUGACCAUGUGUACAUCAAGGUGUCUCCGAUGAAGGGUGUACAAAGGUUUGGAGUCAAGCGAAAGCUUGCGCCUCGCUAUGUGGGACCUUAUCGGAUUCUCGAAAAGAAAGGGAAUGUGGCAUACAAAGUUCAACUCCCAGUUGCGCUUCGAGCUAUCUUCCCCGUUUUCCACGUAUCACAAUUGAAGAAGUGCCUUCGUGUACCGGAGGAACGAGUGGAAAUUCGAGAUAUCAAGUUAAAAUCAGACUUGGUGUAUGAGGAGAAACCCGUAGCGAUUCUUGAUCGCAAGGAACGGGAAACGCGUAAUCGUGUGGUUAAACUCUACAAGGUGUUGUGGAGCAACCACGGGGAAGAAGAUGCCACUUGGGAGACGGAGAUUAUUUAAAAGAAGUUUACAAAACCUUCUUCGAAAAUCAGUAAGCUUUCAAAUCUCGGGACGAGAUUUUUGUAAGGGGGGAGGGCUGUAACACCCCAGUGUUAUGGUUACAUCAAACAUGUGCAUAGCAUGAGCAUCAUCAUGUAUUCAAAGCAUCCAUGAUCAUCAUCUAUCUUGAGACAUGUCAUCCUUUGUAAAAAUGUGUUUUAAAUUGCUUAAAUAGGCUUCCUAUGCUUAUGUUUGAGUGAACAAUGCUUGUGUUUGUGCUUAAUGCCUUGGUAAAUAGUUUAUCUAUGCUUGACUUAAUCUUGGGAACAAUGUUCAUGUUGAUCACUUCUCCAAAAUAAUCACUUAAGUCUUACUUAUGCAAAUAGGCCCUAGAAACCUCUUUUGCUUAGGCUUUUAAAAAGAGUUUCAUAAAUUGUUUGCAUGUCAAAACUUCCUACAGCAAAGUUGUAGCAAAUUUUAUAAGGAACAAAAGUUGUUUUAUGGCCAUCUCAUGAAAAUGACCACAAAUAGCUCAAAAGUGGUCCACAAGGCAGAUUUGGGGCUGUUUUCCACACUUAGAAAUUUUCUAAGUCCCCGGGUGGUUUGCAGUUUGCGUGAUCGAUUUUGGAAACUCUAUAUCUUUCAAUCCAGGCCGAUCUGGCCUUUGCUCUAGUUGACAAAGUUGUAGAUCUCGUCUAGUACUCCAAGUUUGUCAACUACGCCAUCUCCUAAUUCGCUCUGGUUUGGGAGAUAAUCACCGGUGAAGUCGCUCUGUCAGUCGGUCGAUGCACUGUCUGAAUCGACUUGGACCUCGUCGACGUGGCCGACCGCCGGCAGCGCUCCGUCGCCAUUUGGCGCCCGUACGCCGUUCCUGGCCCCGCUUGUCAGCUCUCGUCGCGUGCAUGACCACCACGGCGUCGCCCCGAGCGCGUGGACGCGUCCAUUUCGCUCUGCCUCGCCCUCUCUCGCCUGAACCUCGCCCGCAGCGAGCUCUCCGCCGCGAGCUCACUCCGGCGAGCUCGUGUGCGCUCCUCUCUGCGUUUCCGUCCACCAAACUCCACCCAAAGCUCCGCCGUGAGCCGCUCUCCAAGCUCCACCAUCUAACUCGCCGAGAAACCCACCGGUGAGCCGACAUUUCUUUCUUCCCCCAAAUCGGUCCGCCGUGACCAUCUUCUCCGGCGAACUCAAUGCCGAGCGUUGUGAGGCUUCUCAUCGGCUUUGGUUAGGUCCUAGAGGUAGCUUAGGUCCUUAGCGAGCUUUUGCGCCACCUGGUGGACGCUCUACCGGGUUCUCCGUCGCCGGACACGGUGCGCAGCGCCGCCGUGCUUCCGCCGGAGUUGGGUGCUCUCGUGGCCAGCGCUUUCCACGGGGAUCCAGGUCAAGCUGCGUACCUAGGAAGCUUCGCCCGAGUCUGCUGGUGCUGUAGAAGGCCUUAGGUCACGCUCUACCGGCCUGAGGACUCCGGCGUAACGCCGAGCACCUCCGCCGAGCCGCCAUUGUCGACGGUGAGCUCCUUCCGGUGGCUCCGCCGUGGCAAAAGUAGGGUCAAUCGAGUCGUUAGGGUUUGGGGAUCACGUUGAUGCCCUGGGUUUGGCCGGAGACCUCGCCGUCGCGGAGAAAUCGCCGGCGAAGAUCGCCUCGGCCGUGAGGAAGAAGAGCCUGACGGGUGGGACCCACUGUCAGCGACUCUCUCUUUCCCUCCUUUUCUUUUAUUCAAAAUCCUGAUUUUUGGCUUUCUUGCAAAAAUCAUAUCUCCUGUUUCUGAGAUCCAAAAAUUGUGAAACAAAUUUUGUGUUGUUUCUUGAGAUGGCUAGUAUUUAAUAAAAAUAUAAAAUGAAUCAUGUUUUCUGGGAAAUUAUUUAUUAAGGAUUUAAUCUUGUUAUUUAUGGAUAAAUGCAUAUCUCUGGUCAUACUGCUUAGUUUGCUUUGAAAAUUUUAUGGUAGUCUUUUCAUGGCAUUAGGGUGCUCUGAUAAAUAUUUCAUGAUUUUUGGAGCACUGCAGUGGUGAUAUGUAAUUUGUGUUUGAAAUAUGGCUUGUUUCUUUAAUUAAAUCACAUAAAAUAAUUGGUGCUUAUGCUGGUGCUCUAUUUUGGUGGUAAACUUGUUUAUGGUAUUCCUAAGAUGUAAAUAAUCUGAAAUCUGUUGUUUGACAUUAUAUAAGUCAUGUUUAUGAAUUUAUGAAAUAAAUGCCUUGAUACAUGUUAAAUGCAUAUCUUUAAUUUGGCAUGUGCAUUGGUCCUGAAAUUUUUAUGGUGGUGAUCUGAUGUUAUCCUUGUGCCUCUGUAAUUUUUGUAGAUUUUUUCUGAGCACUUUAACUAAUAUCUUGUAAAUAUGCCUUAUCUAAAAUUAAUUAAUAAAUGCCUUGUUAAGUAAUUGUUUUGGGGUUUUCAACUGAUGAUCUGGUGACCUUGUAUUAUGUUUGUGCUCAUGAGUCAUAUGGUUGGCCUAGUUUAUGCUUUGAUCAUGUCAUUAAAUAAUUAACUAUAGGGUUAAAUGCUGUUUGGACAGCAAGUGAAUAAAUUAACUUUGCUUAAUGAUAAGUUGACUUUCUGUGAAACUUAUAUAAAACAAAGUUGUUCCAAACUUGUUGAACUAACUGUGGUUUAAAUUUGAGGUCAUUUGGCCAAGUAGUUUAAAAGUUAUAGCUGUUCCAAGUUGGGUUCCAGAAAUAGGGGUUCUCUGUUUUUCUGGAACAGAAUCUGGAACUUUGUUAAAAUGACUAAUUUAAUGUUUGAAUCUUGCUGUCAUGUUUAAAGAUGAGUUGUAGACAAUUUCCUAAGCUUUCCAGAAUGUCCUCACUCAUGUUUGUUGGACCUGUCUAUCUAUACUUAUGAUUUAUUUACUGAGCAUACUUGUUUAUGUUGCUUGCUGCUUUAGUGCCAUGAUAGGUUUUGGGUUAUGUUAACUUGUUUAUUCAUGUGAGUUAGUAUAACUCUUGUUCCGUAAAUGAGUGUCCAGUGAGUUGCUUGUGUUGUUAAGCAUUCAUCUGUAGCAUGUGCAUUUUCUCAUUAAUCGAGCAUGCAAUAGGUGCACCGGACGUGGCAGCUUCCUUCGAGCUCCAAGCGAAUCCCGAAGGCCAGGAAGGCAGCCAGGAGGUGGAGGUCCAGCAAGCCGGACUCGAGGAGCCCGAAGAAGAAGUUGAGUGCCCAAGUCACGAGCCGGCAUCGUUCGUGAAAGGCAAGCCCCGGAGCAUUUUAAGCCUCCUCUAUUUUCGAAAGUUUACUUAAUACGUUAUAUCUAUUGAUGCAUUACGUAUAGGAGUUGUGAUGAAACUGUUGCUGCAUCCUACUCUAUCCUUGUCCAGAUAACUUACCCUCCCUGGUUGUAGAGUUAGGAUCGAGUAGCAGCUUAGUUAUGCUUUAACCGGUAGAAGUCGGGUGAUAUCCUGUCAUCCGCGCGAUAUAGGGUUGUGUCGGAUCACGAUGGUCUAUAUGUGCUAUCGUGGAUGGAACCUGAUCAAAUUGACUUAAGCCGGGCGGAGUUUUGCAAGUGUGUAGUAACUCCGUCUGUGGCAGCUAAGGACCGAUCGUUGUACGUCCUCUUGUCAUGUUGAACGCAUGCCUGACACUUAGUUGGCCGGAUAACUCGUUCCGACCGCGAAGCCGAGUAGUAUGACUCAGGCCGGAAGACCGGCAAGUAUAAAGUGCGCACUACCGGAGGAAGUGCGGUGUGCGGGGGACCAUUGGCGUAAGCCCAAAGGCAGGUGAGUUAAAAUUCCUGACCUCCCUGGCAGAGUGGUAGCCCUGGGAGUGCGGCGCUGAUCGGAGCCGCGAUUCCUGAGUUGUACCAAAGGUAACCCGUUGGCUCUCCGGCAGGGGAUGCUUGGGUGAGUGCUAGGAGUAAACCUCCAGCUGGAUAGGAAUUCGAUUCGAAUCGCCGUCUCUCCCGGUUAGUGAGAACUUGACAGAGCAGCGGCAAACGUAGCAUUCACUAAUAAACUUGGUUCAUGAUAACAAUGAUAGCAAGAAGAACAUAUGAUGAAUUUUGAUAUGGUUACUAUUGUCUGUAAUAAUCAAGUGAUGUGUUGUAGUACAGGUGCUAAUCUAGUGGUAGGCUGUUGAUAAAUAAAUUGAUGCUCUUAAAAUGAUUUAGUUGUAAGUUAAGCUUUUGGCAAAAAGGUGAGUCAGUCAGCUCCACUUAAAAUUUAGCUUUGCAUGAUCCUUGGUGUCUUUUGUGUUUUACUAGACGGGUAAGUCUAGCUGAGUACAUCCUCGUACUCAGGGUUUAUUCCCACCUGUUGCAGAUGAUAUCUUCUAUGACGGUUUCUGCAAGACCUGUCUCCAUCCCGCUGGGGAUGAGGACUAACCGUUGGGCACGGUUCUCUAAUCUUCUCAUCUAUGAUGCUUUUGGAAGGAUGACCUAGACUCUGGCAGUAACAAGCUUGUGACUGAGUUUUAAACAAGUGUGUGUACUUAUUUUGCUUCCGCUACUUCGAACAUGGGUUGUAAUAACUUAAUACUCCGAUGUGGUGCCGCUUCGACGGCAAUGAAUGACUAUGUAACAUUCGUUGUGUUUAUGUUGAACUAUUACGAUCUUGGUUUGUUGCGAGUUGGUUUGAAGUCCUUCGUGAUUUCGAUUGACUACCGGGAUUAUAUGGGCUCAAGUCUAGAAACUUGAUUGUUUGACGAUCGUUUCUGCACUUGAACUCUUAUAAUUUGGUCGGUUCUGUGACACAAUCCUACCAUCCCUUGGUGGAACUUGGCUGGAAGGUAUGUUUCAAAAGAUCCAAAGAAAAGUUUUCGGCUCUAAAGGGGAUCCUAUUUGUUUCCUCAUUGAUCAGAUCGGUAGGAUCUGGAUUACCUAGCGGACCGAGGCAUUGAAGGUGGGGUUGCUCGGUAGGAAUGACGAUGUUCUCGGUUAAUUCCUAAAGGUUUCAAGAUUGGAAGAAUAGAGAAAAGGAAGAAGAAAGAAAAUACUAAGUAGCUGUGCAAAAGGUAGAAAGUACGACAAAGAGAAGAAAGAUGGGACUAGAUUAACCUCAAUGACGAUGAAGUUGACGGCCAUUUCUUCUAGAAGAAGAGGAUCGGAGACUUGAAGAACCGUUGGGAAAGAUCCUUGCUGGAGUUCUUGGGCUCUUCAACAAUGCCGCCGCUAGAGAGAUGGGUUUGGAGGAUGCAGAAUGACAAGGUGGAGAAAGAGUACCAAGGAAGGAAGUAUUUGUAGGGUAAAGUGAGUAGGGGCAUUUCUAACUUAUCUCUUUGCCGUAUCCAUGAAACUAGAGGGUGUUCAGGUGGAUAUGGUAACUGUUCGCACGGUAAUCAAGGGAUUGUGUAGGUGAUUUGAUAGCAAGCGGUCAUGAUUUUGGGAGAUAUUUUAUUGUACAGGAUCUCCUGGUCGGAUCAUCGUUAGUCUAUUCUAACAGAAAUGUUGCCGAUGAAUGGGUGUUUAGGUGAUUUGGUUUGAGAAGUCGAGGGAUUCAAGGUGUAUGCUAGAGACAUGGGCUAAGGUUGUUUGGAUUUGGCAAUUAAUUGCUGUCAUAAGGAAAUAAUUGUGAAAAUGGCAUCAUUAUUAGAGAGAAUUUUGGAGCAUUAAUGAUUUUAUACUCUGAAAUUGGGGGGCAUGUGUUGACACCAUUUUUGGACAUGUAUCUGAGAAGUUAAUGAAACAUGGAUCGACAGACAGACGAGUAAUGGCUAGUUGAUGGAGGAGUUACCGAUGGGUUAUGAUGCCGAUGAUAAAACAACAAAAUUUGACCAAGUCUAGGGAUGAUGAUUGAUCUAUGCCGAGGGCCGAUAUUGAUAGUUGCCGAUGCCGAUGAAGGGUGAUUUGCUGAUGAUAGCAAGGGAAGGCGUAGGAAUUAUUGACAAAGAUGAUGACGGUGCGCCGAUCGCCCAGGGUGGAUAGAUUAGUAUUUUCCAUAGUUGUUAGAGCCUGUUUUGUAUACGAAAUAAGUUUGAUUUGGAAUUAGAGUCCUGGUCGUGUCUGAUUGUAACUCUUUAAGACAGGAUAUAAAUGUAGACCCAGUAGCAAUGUAGGAAAGAUAUAUACAAUCAAUCAAACACAAGUUUUUACAUCUAUUCCAGCAUCUACUUUUCAACGACUUCGUCAACUUGCAUAUUUUCUUUUUACUUACGAGUUCUUAGAAAUUCAUCGAGUCAACCUCGGUGAGUUCUCAUGUUCCGCAUGAAUACCUCUUGGCCGUGGCAUCCGGGCAUAUCGCUGUUGUUGGGACCAAAGUAUUCGAGUUAUCACCUUUGUCGGUUGUAAGGUCAAAUCGGCUGGCACGCCUUAACAUUGAAUCGGGUAUUAGCCCUUUGUGUUUGCAGAUCUACUUUUGCAUCAACAACACCUCGUUCAGUAUCCCCGAUCCAAAUAGCAUCCUCUCCUUCUCAAUCGGAGCUCCAAACACAAGAAGUACCUUCUCCCCCUCAAUCAGUACCCCAGCCACAAGAAGCACUAACCGAUGUGUCUAAACAGAUUGCUGAUCCGGUUGAUCUGGGCACAUUAUCGGUCGUCCCUCCAGAAUAGACAAUCAGCAUACCUCUUCAAGGUAAAGUACUGAUUACAGAAUUAUUACUGAUGAACUUAUCUAUAAUCUAUAAUCAUCCUUGUAACUUUUCAGCUGAAGUCACUCCAUCGGCAACUCUAGCCGAUCAAGCUAUAGUCCCAGCUGCAUCUCCAUGUCAGAGACAGGAAAUUGCCUUGAAGCAAGUAAGUUAUCCAAUUUCCCAGACUUCGUACUAUCGACACUCAAUCUUGAGUAACUUAUCUUCUUCCUUUUCUAAGAGCAAGACUCCCCAGAUAGCUUAUUCUCCUUUGCUAUCGACAUCUCUGACGAUGAAGGCGAAGAAGCAAGCUCCUCUCAGGCAGAGGACACAAGAGCUGAGGACAGAGGCAUUCUACAGUCCUCAGGGGAUGAGCUGAAACAAAAGAUCUCUGAUCUAUCGGCAAGAAGAGAAGCCCUGCUAGCUGAACUCAAGCAAGUGGAAGAGGCCCUGACUCAUGCUCAACAAGAAGAAAGCCAGCUGCUCGAUGCGCUCAAAACUCUUCAGUUAGAGAGAGAUGUCCAAGCCCGCAAGGCGUUGCACAUUAAGAAGAAGCUGAACCUAGUGGAGGGCUUUGCCGAUGAAGAGACUCGAGAAAUAGAAGAGGCCAACCAGAUUCGUCUAUGCAUAAUAUCAACCAUCCAGGCUUUGCUGAAUCUGUGAAUUUUUCAUCGGCAACUUGUUUAAUUCUGUUUUCAAACUUCAAUCUUUUUGGUCCAGCCGAUAGGAUUGUUAUUGGCACUAAAACUCCAUGCAUAGCUCCAGAUACACUUAACAUUUCGUCCAGCCAAUAGGACUGUUAUCGGCAUUUUAACUUUCAUGCAUCAAUCCAGAUACUUGGGUAGUAUUUCUUUAAAUAUUUUCCAUUUAAAGCUCUAAGGAAUUCAACUCCUUCGAGAGUUUCGAAAAUAUAAGCAUUGCCAGGAGCAGAUCGAUUUAUCUGAUAAGGACCCUCCCAAUUAGGAUACCAUUUUCCAAACUUCGAACUUUUAGUCCCAAUCAGUUGAAUCAGCUUCCACACCAAAUCUCCAUCGACAAACUCCUUGGCCUUUACUUUCUUAUCAUACCAUUUAGCAACUCUCUUUUUAUUUUCUUCUAUGCUAAUUAAAGCUCUUAACUGAUGCCCUGCUAAAUCAUCCAGCUCAUCUUUCAUCAAAGUAGCAUAGUCGUCGGUAGUUUGUUGAUCUUGAGAAAAGAUCCGCCUAGAACCAGUUUUAAUUUCCCAUGGCAAUACCGCAUCAUGUCCAUAUACCAAUUGAUAUGGUGACACUUUGGUUGAACCAUGACAUGCCAUUCGAUACGACCACAAAGCUUCAUUUAAAAAUGUAUGCCAUCUCCUAGGAUUUUCCUCAAUUUCCGCUUAAUGAGCUUAAUAAUUCCUUUGUUAGAAGCUUCGGCCAGCCCAUUAGCUUGAGCAUAAUAAGGAGAAGAAUUAAACACCUUAAUCACCAUACUAAUUGCAAACUCAUCAGACUCCCCUGAUGUAAACAUAGUACCCUGAUCGGUAGUAAUUGUUUGGGGAAUACCAAAUCAGUAAACAAUGUGCUCUUUUACAAAAUCAAUCAUGUUGGCCGAUGUUACUUUCUUCAAAGGAAUAGCCUCAACCUACUUUGUGAAAUAAUCAGUGGCAACUAAGAUAAACUUAUGCCCUUUGCUUGAUGAUGGAUAAAUCUGACCGAUGAGAUCAAUAGCCCAACCCCGGAACGGCCAAGGUUUAAUAAUAGGAUUCAUAGCCAUUGCAGGUGCUCUUUGAAUAUUGCCAAAACUUUGACACCUUUGACAUCCUUUGAAAUACUUGAAACAAUCCUCAAGUAUAGUCAGCCAAUAAUAUCCAUUCUUUCUAAUUAUCCAUUUCAUCUUAAAGCGGAUUGGUGUGCUCCACAUACUCCUUCAUGAAUUUAACCCAUCAAGCUUUUGGACUCAUCAUCACCUAAGCAUUUAAGCAAAACUCCAUCUAUCGUACGAUAAUACAAUUCUUUGUCAAGGAGUACAUACUUUAUAGCUUGAAGCCGGACACGCCUCUCAACCUUCUUGGAUGGAUCUUUUAAAAAAUCAAUAAUUUCCUUCCUCCAAUCAUCAGUACUGACUGCCAAUAAUAUGUCCAAGACUGGUUGAUAUCCCGAGGCAUGCUGAGCCAAUUGUUUGGCUUCUUCAUUAUGUAACCGAGGAAUAUGCUCUAGUCGGAAACCCUAGAAUUCCCUUAACAGUUGUACACAUAUUUCAUAAUAGGCUAUCAAAACCUCACUUCAGCAUUGAUAACUUCCAGCCAAUUGCUUUAUAACGUGCAUAGAAUCACUGAAAAUUUCAACAGCAUCAGCAUGAACCUCUUUUAAUAAUUCUAAUCCUUUGAUUAAAGCUUGGUACUCAGCUUGAUUAUUUUUCAAGGUGGCAACAAUCGGUAAAGAAAACUCAUAUUUCUUUCCCUGAGGAGAAAUUAGAACUAUACCGAUUCCUGCCCCCCGAUCACAUGUAGAUCCAUGAAAGAAUAGCGUCCAAGGAACAAUUUCCAAAGCAUCCACCAUACCACAAUGCUGAGUUACAAAAUCGGCCAUAAUCUGUUUUUUAACAGCUUUAGCCGAUUCGUAGCGAAGAUCAAAUUCCAACAAUGCUAAUAUCCACUUGCCGAUUCUACCACUCAUAAUUGGCAUUGAUAACAUGUACCAAACUACAUCAUCUUUGCAUACAACAGUGCAUUCGGCCGACAGCAAGUAAUGUCUCAAUUUGACACAAGAAAAGUAUAAGCAUAAGCAUAAGUUUUCAAUGGCCGAAUACCUUGUCUCAGCAUCCACCAAUCUUCUGCUUAGAUAGUAAAUUACACGCUCCUUUCCUUCAAAUUCUUGAAUGAGAGCUGAACCGAUGACCAUAUCAUCAGUAGACAAAUACAAUUUGAAAGGCUUUCCUUGUUGAGGUCGAACCUAAACUGGAGGAUUUGCCAAAUAAUUCUUGAUUUCAUCCAAGGCUAAUUGUUGCUCCUUCCCCCACACAAAUUCUUGAUCGGCUUUUAACUUAAGCAAAGGGCUAAAAACACAAAUCUUACCUGAUAGAUUAGAUAUAAAUCGUCUGAUAAAAUUAUUAUUGCCGAUCAAUGAUUGAAGUUCAGUUUUAUUGGUGGGAGCAACUAUUUUGUUGAUGGCAUCAAUAGAUCUCCUACUAAUUUUAAUUCCUCUUUGAUGCACCAUGAAACCAAGAAACUAUACGGCCAAUACACCAAAUGCACAUUUAUUAGGGUUCAUUUUUAAACCAUGCUUCCUUGUGCACUCUGUUGAUGGUCCUUAAGUAUCAAAUAUAAUCAACAAAUAAACAAAGAAAAGGAUCCAAAUGCAACCAACACCCAAACUUAGGAUUUUAUCUGAUAGAAUUCCACAAGUUUUGGUGUUUGUCUAUUUUUGCAAGGGGUUAUCGAGAAUUAUGGAGGAAAGGCCCACACGUCGGGUUUACAUAGAGAUAUUAACGUGCACCGCAAUUAUCCAACAUCUAGAAGAGUCCAGAAGCCACGGGAACGAAUGGGAGGCCAAGCGGACCUAGGGGCAGGGCGCCCGCCCUCCUCCCUUGGACGCCCGCCCUGGCCCGAGAGCCAAUCAAACUCUGUCUCGCGGAUCAAGCUCCACCGACCUAAGGGAUUGAGGAAAACCAUGCGAUUAAGGUCGAUUUCAUCCAACGGUCCAUAUUCAUUUGGAGGGACUAUAUAAACAGACCCCCUGGCUCCAGGAGGAGAGGACCGGAGAAACCCUAAUUCAUUCAUCCAUCUCGGGAGAAGAAGUCCCUGAUCAAGCCCUAGAGCCACCACAUCAAUAGAUCUCUAGUUUAGCAUAGCUACAUAGGAUUAGAACUAGAAGGAGUCAAUCUUCGAUUGGUUUCUGGAUCUGUCAAGAGGGUUCUUGGUAAUUCCUCUACUGUUCUUCUUUUGUUCAUCAUUGUUCUUCAAUAUUAUGAAUAUGACUUUGUUCUACUUCAAUAUAUUGAUUAUGACUUUGCUCUACUUGUUUAUAUUUGCAAUUAUAUUGUUCUUAGUUUCUCAUAGUUAUAUGCUUGGCUUAGUUAGAUUGGAAUUAUAUACAUGUUUAGGAUCAUAUAGCGUUUAUCCAUGUGUACAGUGGGUAAAUGAUAAGUAUUUUGUAGGCGUGAUGCCUGUACCAUAUUUAUGUGUGAUUGUACCCUAUAUGCCGGAUCGCGGGGUAGUUCGUGGUGGUGACAGCUCCAUUGAUUCUUAUAUAGUCCCCCUCCCAUGUAUAGGGCAGGCAGAGCAACAUUAUUAGAGGUUAGUGAUUGCUAUGUUUCUCAUCUUCCUUGAUAAUAUCACUAUGCAUGGGCGUAGUCUUGUCUUGCAAUGAUUGCCAAGUAUAAUUGCACUAACUAUGAUAAAUCCCCAGAGAUGCUAUACUACUUCGCCUCUUCCCAUUCUCACUGUUGGGGAGAGCGAAGCAGUGGUUCUACGCUACAAAGGAGAAGAAUACUACGUGGGCACUCUGCUCCAUGAACUUUCUUGCUAAGUUCUUUCCCAUGGGCAAGACCAAUGCUCUACGUGGGAAAAUUACAAGUUUUCAGCAACAACAUGAUGAAUCUGUUCCAGAAGCAUGGGAGCACUUCUAAGACUACAUCCUAGAAUGUCCCCAUCAUGGAAUGGGGAGCUGGCUACUGAUGCAGAUGUUUUAUCAUUGGCUCGGCAGUAGUGCCCGCGAGACCAUGGAUGCUGCAGUUGGAGGAGCAUUCCUAUCACUCACCAUACCACAAGCCACAGCUCUUGUGGAGAAGAUGGCAUCCAACCAAGGUUGUAAUGAAGAAAGGACCUAGACACGCAAGAGAAGUGGAGGUAUGCACCAGCUCAAGGAGGUAGCCAUGCUGUCUUCCAAGCUAGACCUCCUCAUGAAGAAGCUCGAUGAUAAAGCUAGAGAUAAGAAGGAAGUCAUGCACGUUUACAACUCUCACAUGACUUGUGAGGAGUGUGGAGAUACUGGACACUCAGGCAAUCACUGCCCUGAGAUGCUUGAGGACGUGAACUACAUCAUCAACAACAACUACUACUACUACUACAACCGUCCUCAACAAAAUCAAGGUUGGAAUCAACAGAGGCCUAACUACUCAGGUAAUUAUUAAGGUAACAAUUCUUAUAAUAAUAAUAAUAAUUUUCCACCUCUGAGAGAGUUAGUGUCUAAUCAAGGAAAGCUAAUGGAUAACCCAUCUAAGAAAUUGUCAUCUAAUGAUAAAAUGUUGGAAAAUAUAAAUAAUAGAAUGGAUAACCUCUCUACUGCCAUCGAGAAUCAAAUUAGCUUUAAUAAAAUGAUUGAAUCUCAGUUAAAUCAAAUAGCUGCUGCUAUUCCUGCUACUAACCCCGGUAUACCAUCACAACCGGAAGGAUUAGAAUCUGCAAAUCUUGUAGACAUGUUUGAUACAGAUAACUACUGGAGUGACCCCGUUGCGGAAGUUACUACUGACCUUCUGUCGGUCAAGAGAGGCGAUCCAGGAUGCCCCGUCAUCCCGAUCUCCAUUGGCAUGGUGGACUUCUUAGAAGCACUCUGCGACUUUGGCUCUAGUGUGAACAUUAUCCCCAGGGUACUCUAUGAAAAAUUCCUUACAUAUCCUUUACUAGAAACAACCAUGUGUUUGGAGCUUGCAGAUCGGACGUUAAGUUUCCCAAAGGGAAUAUUAAAGAACCUUUGCAUCCGAGUUGGUACCUUGAACGCCCCAGCAGACUUCGUGGUGAUAGAGACCGGUAAUGAUGAGAGCGCACCCGUCAUCUUAGGGAGGCCAUUCCUGAACACCUCGGCAGCUGUCAUCUACGCUAGUGCGGCCAAGAUCAGUUUCUACAUCAAGGGAAGGAAGGAGACGUUUUACUUCAAGAACAAGAAUGCACGAAUUCCAGAGCAAUCUCGACAUGAACCAAGGAAGAUGACCAACAGGAGGAACAAGAAUAAGUAAGUGUGGACCGAGUCAGCUAAGUUGGUCACUGCAGUUCAAGGAAGUCAAGAUCAUCGACUUAAGUCACCGUUUCUGACCAAGAAGGACGACCCAGGUAUGCCAAGCAUCUAGUGCUCCAUUAAUGGAUACAAUUUCUACAAGACGCUUUGCGACAUUGGGUCGGGCGUCAACAUAAUCGCCGUAGUCACCUAUCAGCUCUUGUUUGGAACCAUGCCCCUAAAACCAACAUACAUUCAGCUCCAGAUGGCAGAUCAAACAUUCCGAAAGGUUGAAGGUAUAGUAACGGAUGUCCCUAUUAAAAUAGAUGAUCAUUUUGUCCAUACAGACUUUUAGGUUAUUAACAUGGGAGAAGACAGAUACGAUCCACCCAUCAUCCUUGCGAGACCGUUCCUCAGCACCAUUAAAGCAAUCAUCUACAUUGGAACUGGAGAAGUCCACAUGCACUUCCCCUCUGAGAAGGUACACCACUAUUUUACUAACCCUAACUAUAUAGUUGAAGACUCUAAGCAGGUCAGGACAAGAAGAAGACGACGCAACCGCAACCAGAGGAGGCAAAUCAUCAAGGACGGAUGGGCAAACUACGAAGGAGAAGGGGUAAGGUCUGAAGACAUACAGCUUGAACAGAAUUGUCCUAAGGAGACCGUAGCACAGAGUCAGGUGUGGAGAGAGAAGAUAGUUAUACACGAAGAGGAGGCGCCGCCGGAACCACAGACUACGCCAUCCAGCGAAUCCCAGGACGACUGAGAAAACAGAGAGUCCCAUUCGGAGGACUUAAAAACACCGAACGUCUUGCCAAGAGGUAAACUUGGUAGUUAUCCUUUUCCUUUCAAGUAUUUAAAAUAGUUUGCUUAGUUAAUUAUGUUCAUACUAUCUAAAAAGAAAAUAAAAAUGUUAAAACUAGUAAGCCCCAUGUGAGUAUACAAGUGGCAUAAAACCCAUAAGUACAUUAACUGUGGUGGCAUAAUAAUAAUAAUAAUAAAAAUAAUAUAUAAAUAUAAUAAAAUAAAGAUAUUCUUCUGCUCUAUAAACAUGAAAAUAUAAAAAUAGAAUUGUGAUCCUACCAAAGAAAGUAGCAAUUAUUAAGGAUGCUCAACAUGAUAAAGGCUAGAUAUUUAUGCUAACACCUAAUCAGUUCCACAAAGCUUUGUUGUCUAUUUGAGCUCCAUAGAAUUCAAGGAUCAAGAAGACUAGCAGACAGAGGACAUCCUAAUCGCUGUCAGGGUGCUGUCGACAUUCAAAAACAACUCUGCCACCUGCUAGCUACAUCAGAAGAAAUUACGUCACAAACCAGCUUGGGCGAGACCACGUCCAUUUAUCCCGCUAAGUAUUUCAAUCUAUAUACUUAUACUAUAUUAAAAUAAAAAGAUACAUAAUCAUGAAAACCCAAAUAAAGAUUUUGUGCUUAUAUAUAUAUAUAUAUCUUUUGCUUAGUGUGUUUAAUAAAUAAAUAAAGUGGCUAUGCUAAACUGAAUCUUAAUAAUAAAACUCUAGCAUGGAUAUGAUAAAUAGUUGCUCUACCUAAUUUUUAAAUUUGAAGUUCUCUAUCAAGUUUAGACAUAACUGUUAUAAUUUAAAGCUUGCUCUAAACCUGAACUUGUGGUAAGAGAACUAGAUCUAAAGUCUAAGUUGUUAACGGAUAUGAUAUGGGAAGGUUCAGCUGCUGUUUAUCUGUUCCUAGAGAUGCUAGAAUUUUGUAGAAUUUUAUCUUUGAAAAUCUUUAAAAUAACACAUGAUGAGUUCCUGUAUGAUGAGAGUUUAAAUUCCUACCACAGUUAUACAUACGUGCUUGCUAGACUUUGAGCCAUACAUUUACUUUUUACUUCUUAUAAGCAUUGAGUGUGGUCAAGCUGUGUAGACCCUUAGGAGCUUGUCAUGUGGUUAAAUCAAGAUUCACUUGCACGUUCACUCACACAUGUUGCUUCUACUCCGCAAGUACACAUCCACAUAUAUCCACUUAUUUCCAUAUCCAGAGCCACCCAAAAGUAUUCUACUCCUAAUCCGGGAGAGAAUAGCCAAAAACAUUCUCCUAUUUAUGUUUUUCCCUGUGAAAUAAAUGCUCAAGUUAUCUUGGUUACUACCACUUGCUAUAUUAUUUCAGGAGAUGAGUGCUCUAAAAAAAAGAAAAAAAAGACGAAGGAUACGAGGAAAUAAAAAGGGGCAAGUGCCCGAAACCUCAAAAGAAAAGAAAAAGUGAGACGGGAGGUAAACAUGGACAAGUGUCUGUUGACGGUCCUUAAUGCUCACAUUUAACCGUCAACUAAUCAUGGAAAAGGACCUAUAUGCAACCAACAUCCAAAAUUAGGGUUUCAUCUGACAAAAUUCCACGAGUUUUGGUGUUUGUCUAUUUCUGCAGGGGGUUAUCAGGAAACAUGGAGGAAAGGCCCACACGUUGGGUUUACAUAGAGAUAUUAACGUGUGCGCCAAUUUUCUAUCAUCUAGAAGACUCCAGAAGCCAUGGGAAUGAACGGAAGGCCGAGCGGGCCCGGGGGCUUGGCGCCCGCGCUCCCCCUUGGGCGCCCGCCCUGCUCUGGUGACCAAUCAGGGCAGGUCUCACGGAUCGUGCUCCACCGCCUUUGAGGAUCAAGGAAAACCGUGCGAUUAAGGUCGGUUUGAUCCGACGGCCCAUGUUCAUUUGGAAGGGCUAUAUAACAGGCCCCCUGGCCCCUGGAGAACAUAUCUCUUCUACAGAAUCAAAGCUAGGGUUUCAAUUAUUCAUCCAAGUAGAGAGGAUCCCUCUAGUUCAUCUAGUUCUAGUUCUGGUUCAUCUAGUUCUAGUUCUAGUUAGUUCUAGUUGUAAUCUAGAAAAUAGAGAGAGAGAAGAGGAGAGCGGAGGAGGAGCCGGAUCUGUCGGAUCUUCCUCAACAUUGUACUUUUGCAGCAACUGGUUCGUUCUACAAGUUCCUCAAUUCAUCAUUCCCAAGUUCUUUAAUUACUUUUAUUUACAUUCAAGUUAUUUAUUGGAUUUCCGCUUGCAUCAAGUGCUAUAGUCUUUGAAACGCUAGAGUAGUAAUUGAUAGAUUAGACGUGGUGUUUAGUCUUGCAAUUACCUGGAAUUGCACCCAAUCCUGCAGAUUGUUGUGGUAUCCCUAGGGUAGUGACAGCCCUAACGGUCGACGUAUUCCACCUCGUUCGGAUCGUUGUUUGUAGGACCGUAGUCAGAGCUUCCUAGCCCCCUUCUCAUCUCUUUUUGUGGUUAGUGUUCUGAUGUCCCAAAAUAAAUAAUCUUUGAAGUAAUUCUUGAUUCUUAGAUCAACUAGAGAACUCUCAGGAAACUUCCUCUCUUCCGACCAAAAAUAAUAUAGUUAUCCUUGGGCGAUCUUGAAUCUUAAUUAGUACACUCACGUUCCCUGUGGAAAAUCGAUACUCUGGAAUACUCCCUGGUGAAAGCUACAUCGGUAUCCGUGCGCUUGCAGAUUUUUCUGUUUAUGUUUAAAAUACCCAACAGUGUCCGACAGUAGAAUUGGGGGUACAAGAUACCCACCUGAGAGGAAAGAGCAUCUCAUUCUCCUCAAAAAGUUUCAAAAGAGCAAGAAAGGUUUGUAUCCCCUCAAAAGAGCACAAGUAGAAUUAGACUUUCACCAUUGUUAUCACCAUCAUCACCAUACACCAUUCAUUCGCCACACAUGCACAUCUUGAUUUGACUUAUUGACCUAUUUCUCUGGAUCCAUGGUUUGACUACGCAAUAAAUGUCUUGUAAGUAUGUACACUUUAUCUCCCACCUAUGAGCUCCAGAUAUCAAAACCCUUAUUAAGGUAGGGUGAGAGAGAAGGCAAGGUCACUAUGCUUCAUACCACAAAUAC